UCACCAAAAAAGUGAACAAAAUCUGGCAACGCGAAAAAGAAGCCAUUUGCAUUUCCCUUCUUGCAAUAAUAAGAAGUGCUUGUUAUGGUUUAUAAUGCAAUGAAAUUACACUAUGUACGGUGUCAUGCAAAUUAAUAUGGUAACGAGGCCCUCCUUUCUUCUUUUUUUUUUUUUUUUUUUGUUUGGGGGGGGGUGGGGUGGGGUGGGUUUGGAAUGGGGGACCUCUAACUAUAAGGAUGACAAACAGUUGGGAGGAGUGCCGGAAGGAAGAUUUGGAGGAAUGAAUGAGGCAAUGCUCCCAAAAAAGUGUGAUUGGGAGGGGUAUUAAAUAGGAGGGGUUAAGGAGGAUGAGGACAAUUGUGGAUCAUGCAAAGGGCUGUUAUAGUGAGAGUUAGGAGUCAGGUGAGAACAUUUAUGAAGGGGUACUAGUUUCGAGUGUUGAGUAGUUAGUGUAGAAGCGAGCUACAUACAAAUGUAAAGGUGACUUGGUCAUCAUACUAGGAGUGACGGUGGGGGUGGUGGUGGACGCGGUGGGGGUGAGGGCUGUGGUGUCGGCGGUCAUGAGGGUUCACUAGUCGUACGUAAGAAGGGUUCGUGGGAUUUAGAGAUCAUGGUUUUGGGUCCUAUGGGAUUUCCUGGUUCUAUUUGUAGCAAGGGAAAACGCGGGGAAGGCACCUUUGUAAUGCGUGCCAGCCGAGAUGAAUUCUUCCUGUCAGUCAUUUGCUCUUCAGUAUUCUUUUCUUACUUUUCUUUCUUUUUCUCCUUGUCUAUGGUGUCCGGCAUCUCCAACAAUGAUUUCUGUGCACCUUUUCUUUUGGCCCAAAAGAAGAAAAGGGAAUUCCGAAAGUUUAUUUCAGUUCACGAAUGAAUAGGAUUGUGUAGAGCAUGUUCAGUUCAUUUUCUGUGCUAGCUGCCAACUUGAAAGAUGAAUCAAUGAUUCGUCAUGCCAAUCAAGAAUUUGCUGAAAUGCGAAGAACCCAUGACAGUUCUUACUCUUAGUAGCUUAAAAGUUCAUUGUGCCGCUCCAAUUACGUCCCCUUUGGAUGGAAAUUUUUGUAAAGAUUUAAUACAGUAGCUCUCUCUCUUUUUGAGAUAAAAUGUACCAUAUGAGAUUAAUAAUAAUUUUGCUACAAAAUAAUUUGCUGUAGGAGCAAUCAUCUCCAGUGAGAGAGAGACAGGACGUGAUGACCGUAAAACACCUUAUUACACGUUUCGAAUCCAAUUUCUAGUUGACCAUAAUAAAGGGCCACAUGGGCUGGAAAUUAUUCUUUGUCCCUUCUCUUUUUUCAUUUACUGUAAUCAUCAUGUUCUUCCACUCGAAGCAGCUAAAUUUCCACCAAUUCCCAUGAACAGACAAAGACACACCACAUGAGAUUCGUUCUGUACUUGUUAUAUGCAUCACUCACUACAAUAAUGUCAUCAUGAUAUUAAUCUCACCCAAAUGCAAAAUCUCGGUUUCCGGUAGGACGUCUUCCAUCACCGAGUUAUUGAGAAACCAAUUUGGGUUUUAGCUCCUGACAACACGUUUAUGUGUUUCCUAACUUUCCUGUUUCGAAAGCAGGACAACAGUCAACGUGCUCGGGUACUUGUAGAUUUCUAUUAUUUAUGAGCUUGGUAUAGUACUUGGAUUUUCUUUGAAUUUUUACUGUUGAUGAAAGUGAUAUUUCUUCUCUUUUAGGUAGACGAUCUUUUUUACUUGCAUACAAGGCUGACGCGGAAAGAAGCUACUAGCGCCGUUAGCAAAAGACACGAUCCGUGCCAAAAAAUAUCGCCAACCAUUUCAUAAUGAUCGACAAUAUUGACUUCUUCCACCCUGCCCUUUAAUGAGCUUUUCAUGCACCAGUAGUUGAUAUUCAACACAUAUGCGGAAAUGAAAUGACAGAGGGAGAAUUUUGGUUUCUUUCUUUCUUUGGUUUCUUUCUUUGUUAAAAUUAUCAAUAAAGAACAAAGCACCAAUGUAGCUAAAUCUUCUAAACAUUUCUGUAGAAGGGUUUCCAAUACUCUGGAUAAAAGGAGUGGAUAAUUUUGAUUUUGCAUUUUCAAAUAAAAUACGAUGUUAUUGCGGAAACAUAAAUUAUUUGUAUCUAUCAUCACUCUCCUAUUUUUUCUUAUCCAAACCUAUUUUUUCUUAUCCAAACCUAUCAGUCAGGAUUUAAACCUUGAUCUGCUGGACUAGGGUUCUAGUUCCUGGUUACCAGUCCCUGUAACUAGUGAUUGAAUGUACAACUCAACAAUCAGGUAUUUCCAUAUGAUUUCUGUAAGCACAAUGUCCUGAAUAUGCAACUUAGAUAGAAUCAAUUUUACUCGCCGAAAAACAAAUCAGGUUCCUUCAAAGAAUCCGUGAUCCUGAAUUAUAGAACCAUUUUUAACAUUAACAUAUGUCCCCAUUUAUUUGUUCUGUUUGAGUCAAGAGAAUUAGCUAGUGGUAUUGCGAGAACUUAGGUGGAAUCCUAGGGUACAGGAGAGAACUUAGUGGAAUCCUAGGGUACAGGAGAGAACUUAACUAAGGUAAACGGGUGAAGGUUAGUGUAUGUCAAUCCGAAUUAAUUUGGAAAAGACGUUAUCAAAUGGAAUUUUCCCACUUUAUAAACACUGGAAAGCAUGAAGGUACCAAAUUGAGGUCCUUAUUGCUUACUGGCGAUAAAACAUUUUCUGGUACUAUUUUAGAGAAUCUAUGUGAUGUUCUUUUGAGCCCAUAGCUUGGUAAUUCAGCAGGUAACUAACUGGAGCGCGAAAGCAACAAGAGAAGUGGUUUUGAGCACUAAAAGUGCUUCUAAAGUGUUUGCUAAUUAAUUUGUUGUAAUUUAAAGAGUUUCAUUUUUGGUAAUUUAAAAACACUUGUGUCAGGAGUGGUUCUUUAUAAGUUACCGCAACCUUAGAUGGGGCUUAAGUGUGAUCACAUGCGAUCAACAUUGCACUUUUAAGCACCAAUUGAAGGAUUGGAUUUCUUUCAACUUAUAGAAUUAUAAAAUGAAUAUGGAUUUUCUGAAGAGUGUGAAUGGUUAAAUAACGAAAGAGGGUUGAAUUAGGUGAUAAGAUAGAAGGAAUUACAAGUAGAAGGUCAUUUUUUUUAAUGUUUUGAAGUAAUAGCAUUAUGUGCAGUCUACAUAAAACGUUAAAUUUCUUCCAAUAUUCUUGUUCUUUUUAGAGUAUUUAGUAAUUCUUAAAGAUAAUUCUACAAUUGCAAAAAUGAUAAACAUAAAAUACGCAAGAAUGUGUCAAAGAGAUCAGACAUUUGAGAGGCAAAAUGACUGAAUGUAGUGAUAGAAUCUUGGCCCCAUAAAAUUAUAACUUGCUGUAUUUUUCCUAAUUGAUAGGAAUUUUUUAGCCAACGACAAAGAUUGACUUCUUCCUCCUUGGAGUACGUAAUAGGCAAUGCCUUUGGAAAAGCAAUGACAGAGACGGGUAGGAAAUUUUGGUUUCUUUGUUUGUUGAAAUAGCAUUAGCUAAUGCUAUUACUAAUAGUAAUAGUUUUAUCCUUAGAUCUUUGAUAGAUGGAAUUGUUAUGGUACGGAGAGAGGCUAUGAUAAAAGGUGAAGAUUAAUGUAUCUCAUAUAUAAAUUGGUUUGGAGCAAACAGAGUCAAAUUGAAAUUUCCCAUUUUAUAAACAUUGGAAAGCCAAUGUUUUAAAUCCAAACCGGAUGAACUUUUGGUUGGUGGAUCUCCAAUUCAACCGUCUGGGUCAACUUUUCUAAUUUAUUCUAAGUUUUAAAAAAUUAGGAUAAUGCUGAACUUUAAAAGAAAACAAUGAAUGAAAACCGGUUCGAUGUAUUGGUUUUCACCAAUUUUGGCUAUUUUGCUGAUUCUUGAUCAGCUCGAGACUAAUUUAUUCUAACAUUCCAUAUUUAAUAGAGAAUUGAACUGAUGUUAUGACUGAUGAUCGAACCAACGAUCCAAUCAGGUUUUCAAACACACUGUCAAAAGCAUGAAUGUACCAUAGUUGAAGUUAGGGAUGCAAACAAGUCGAGCCGAGCUUCCAACUAAUUUUAUGAAACUUGAACUCGAGCUUAAAAAAUAAAAAAAUAAUAAUUAUUUUAUUUUAAAAAUGAAUAAAAUAAUAAUUUUUUUAACAAAUAAUAAAAUAUUAUGAAUAUAUAUGUAAUUUUAUUAUUAAAAUAAAAAAUAUAUAUAUAAUCGACCUCGCGAGCCACUAGUAAGCCAACGAACUUAAUGUUUUAAAACUCGAGCUUGACUUGAUUGACCGAACUCGAGUCGAGCUCGUAUUCGAGCCGCUCGCAUGUAGAGCCCUAGUUGAAGUCCUUGCUUAGUUACCGGUGAUAAAACAUUCUUUUUGAGCACUAUUUUAUGACCCCCAUAGCCUGAUAAUUAAGUAGGCAACUUAGUUAAGGGUUAAAGCAACAUGAAAUGUUACAUCAAAUACUUAUUUAAGCGUAAACACAUGCAAUCACACCGCAAUUUUACAUUGCAAUUGAAUGGAGAAAACUGAUAAGGAUCGGAUAUCUUCCAACUGAAAACUAUGCGCAACUAUAGAAUGGAUAUGGAUCUCCUAAAGUGUAGGAAUUGUCAAAUAACUAUUGUUUUAUUAUGUUUGGACUUAGAGCACUAUGUACAGGCUACAUAAACACUUCGAAGUUCCUCAAUGCGUUUCAGCAUGUAGCGCAUUGUAUAUAGUACUAAUUGAACUCUAGCUAUUGUGAUCCAAUAAUUAGGAAAGGAAUAUGGUAACCACUAUAUAAUUGCAUAUACAUAUAUAUAUAGCAAACCUAGCUACGUAGAUAGACAGCUUAAGCGUCCCUUUCAAAUUGCUAAAGUUUUAAUAAUUAUUGAAAGCUUAAAAGGGGAUAGCUUUACAGAAGAGGUCCCAUCAAAAACGCGUUUACCAGCUUUGGUUCCAAUGCCUCGAUUGUUUGGGAUGAUAAGGCGACGCGUUUAAGGUCCUAAUCUGGUUGCCCCUUCUUUUCUUCCUUUUCUUAUAACUAGCGAAUCCAUUUUCUUUCUUUCGCAGCUAGCAAUCAAUUGCCAAUCAGCAUGCAUGCAAAGCUAGAAGAAUCGUAGCGUAUAUAUUCAUUCAUUCAUUCACAUGUACUGUCCCCCACCAAAUUAAAGGCCCAGCUUCACCAAAACAAUCCUAAUUGCCCAAGAUUUCAGUUGUCUUUACGUUUUAAGUAAAACAUUAAAUUUUGUGAAAUUGCUUGACCGAGUAAGCUUUUUCUAAAAAAGGGCUUAGGCUUUAUAAAGUGGAGCAACAGGAAAUUCAUGCGGAGCAGGUCCCCCAGUUCGGGAAUGGAUGUUGCCAUGUAUGUAGUUUGUUAUUUUGGCAAAAAUUGUUUGGAGAUUGAGUGAUGGAAGCUAAAGUCUUCUGAAUUAUAUGACCAAUAACCAGAUACAAAGACGCAUUUCGGUGGAAAUAUGUCGUCACAUAGGUCUUUCAGAUUUAGAAGACUUUCUCCUCCUAUUUGAGGCAAGUGCUGCACAAAAAACACUUCCCUUGAGGGAACGUAACAUGCUUUUCCCAUCUUCAUUUCAAUUUGGAUUAUCUUCAUUCCAAUUUUAACAUAACUCGUGAAACUAAAUUAGUUGGUUGUUGACCAAUAUGAUACAAUUAAUUAAUGGAUUCUAUGUUCCAGUUGUAUUAUCCAUUCCUGCUUCUUGAAACGAUUCGUUUGACUCGGUCACGUUCUGAUAAGAACAAAUUAUUAAAAACCUUUAAGUGUGUGCGUGUGUAUAGAUAGGGCUACAAGAAGAGAGGAAAUGGGGCAGGGACGGUUGCAGGUGCAACCGUCUCUGAGCGGUUAAUGGCCAUGAUUUGGUCUCAAAAAUUUGUGCGGCUGAGAUUACAAAUUGUAACUCGAUUUCCACGCCAUGUGUGGGCCCCACAAAAAUUUGCUCUAAAGUUACGCGAUGUGCAAAGAAAGUUACACGAUAUAUAAAGAAAGUUACGCGCAGUUGAUAAUGACCAAAACUGCUCGGGACGGUUGCACGUGCCCCGAGUCCAAGAAGAGACAUGCAUAUGCUAUUGCAACGCAUAAUGACAAUUGAUGUACCUUUUGAAAAGGACGAAAUACAAGUAAAACUACCUGGAAAAAGAAUUUUUGAUUGGAAACUUUUUGAUACGCAGUACUCAGUAAAUCAGUCAUGUAAGGAUAGGCCGGAGAGAGCUCGGAGCAUUGUGCAACUAUACAAUUUGAUUGUAGGUAGGUAAAUUAAGCAAAAGAUAGUGCGCCACUUUGUUACAAUUUGGAUUCACGAGCAGUAGUAACUGAUCAUAUCCUCCAAUCUGUGACUUCUUGAAUGACUUUUGAUGCAUCUCCUUCAAAAGAUGUCCGGCAUUGGAAGCCAGCCAGAUCGUCUCUCUCAAUUAAUGCUAGAAAUUCCACUUAUUUAGACUCGGAUUGGAUGAGUGUUUUCCACUCCCGUUUGCUUAACCGUCAGAGUCGAAUCAGGAACCUCACGAUCAUCAUUUAUUUGACUAAUGCCUUCGGGUAUCUUGUUGAAGUAUUUCACAAUGCAGGCAGCACCCGAAGAGAACAAGGAUGUGAUGAAACGCAAUGGAUUUCACCUCAAACAACUAAAAGUCCUGUUUGGCAAGUGAAUUUUUUGGAUAUUUAUCUAAAAUUUUACUAUAACUUACUGUAAAAAUUGUAGAACAAAUUUUUUAAGUUUGUAAAUUUUUAGAUAUCUUGAAAUGUAUAGUUUAAAAAAUUUUCUAAGGUUACUGUAGCUAAAACUAUUAAAAUACUUAUAGUGAAUAAACUUGACAAAAAACUUACUUACCAAACAAGUCCAAAGUCCUUGCACCAUCGUAGGCCGCAGAGCCUUACCUGUUUUAAAAAGUUUUUGGGAGAAUAGCCCAUCUAUGCUAAGGAGAGUCUGAUCACUUAGGCCCGUGUAUAAGAUUGUCCUUGUGACACUAAAAGGCCUGCAAAUUUGACUAAACUGGCUGAGAGUAUUCUAUUCCUAUUUCCUUUGAUCCUUACUCCCUCUCAAAAAAAAAAAAAAAAUCUCUUUUGAACUUAACAAAAAAAAGAAUAUUUUCUCAAGUAUUCUAAAUGUAUUUUCUAAGAAAAUAGUAUGCAAAAAGGUUAUGGAAUCCUACACUCUUAAAAUUUCAAAAUCCAUCAUCUUCCCACAAUAGGAUUUAAUUAGAUAUCUAGAACUGACAUAAAUAAAAAUCGUACAAGUAAAAUUACCUAUAUAAAAAGCAUCGCAUGAAAAAAUGAAUGACAUUUCUAUUUUAUGUAUGAGAGUGGCUUAAAUGGUACUUAGUGACUGAUUCAUUAGGCACCAUAUUAUUAAAAGUUUUUUGUUUGUUAAUUCUAUUUCCUUAGAGACUAGAGCACUAAAUCCGUGUCUGCACGCGCGCAGAAAGGUGUUUGUACACAAUAAAAAUUUAACACCUAUUACCCAUACCUAAAUCGAAGGUAACUUCAAAGUUGAUUGCUAAAGUUACUAGCUUUUUACAGUAAUCAUUGCCUUGUUUUAAGCAUUACCAGCAUAUUGUACUCAGUAGUGAUAUUUUUCACGCCUCUUACUUCUCGUUAUUUUCCCAAUUUAGUAGUAGUAAACCCUAAUAAAUUGGCGCCCGCCUCUCUAUGCCUAAGUUAGAUAAUCCUUUUGAUUAGUUGGACACUCAGCUUCUUUGGUACAAAACGACAAAGUAGAGGUAGGCAAAAAUGGACAAGAGAAGGCGUAUUUAUUACAUGUGUAUUACCUAACACACUAUAAGGCGUAUUUAUUAAUAGCAACACUUGAUCGCCAAAUGAAACAUAAAAGGUAUAGCCCAUCAUCUCUACUCAAUGAUUUGUUAUUGGCGUCAGGAGACAAGUAUUGCACAUGGAAUGUUUAAGAUUUUAGCAUGUAUGUGUGUUUGGAUUGAGAUGAUUUGAAAUAAAAUAAUUUGUUUCAUAAAUUUUAAUUAUUUUUUUAUUUUUUAAUUAUUUUUUUAUCUCACAUACAUCACAUCAGAAAAAGUGUUACAGUAAUUAUCUCAAAUAAAUCAUCCAAAUAAACUCCUAUCCAAACAAAUUAUUCAACAUUUGACUGUGAUCAAUCAUCAAUGGACUUGCCCUAGACUUUCAAUAGUGUAGUUCACCUAGUUGUUUGUUAACUCCUUUUUUUAAAAAAAAAAAAAUCUUGGGUAUAAAGGGAGGCUCCAAGUUUUAGAAGUGGGACAAGGAAAGUUUUAGAAUAAAACAAGAAACUGCGUGACUAUCUGACUAAUAUCCUUAUCAAUUAAAGUAGGAUUUGAGACUAAUACGAUUAAGAAUUUGAUAUAAUUGUACCACUGUGAUACAUUUCACGUAAUUUUGUGUAUAUUUAUAUUUCUUUAUUAUACAUAUAAAUUUUAUUCUUGUAUAUCAUUUCAAUAAAUUAAUAAUAUAUAUAUUUUUUUUAAAUGUAACAAUUGUAUCAAUUUUGCAGCAUCCCCAACCAAGCUGCCUUCCGACCCGUUGAAGUGGGGUGUUACUGUACGUGUUAGCAUCUGCCCAUCCCUACCAUUGCUACCGGUGCCAAUUAUUUAAUGGAUGAUGCAGUACAAUUAACUAGAAUUUGAUGUGGACCCAAAAAGUCUGAGAAAGAGCCUAAAGGCCAACCACUUUUACGUGAAUAUCCACGUGGGCCUGUCGAGUUCCAGUCGUUCAACGUGAUUGAAAUCCCAAAGGGCUGAAUCAUUGGAUUUGGUCCAACAGUCAGAGGUAAGGUUCUAAAAACUCUCCUCUUGCACUGGAUCACGGGUGGUUGGUUUUGGAAGUCAAGUUUUUUGUCCAGUUUAUCUGCUAUAAAUUUUUUAAUAAUUUUAACUACAAUAAUCUCAAAAAAGAUUUUAAAAUUUUUAAACUAUACACUUCAAAAUAUUACAAAAAAACACACUUCAAAAAUUUAAAAAAAAAACUUCUACAGUAAGUUAUAGUAAAAUUUUAGAUAAACACUCAAAAAACUCACCUUCCAAACGAGGAUCUUAGUGUCUUUGUGACAAAGAAUUGAAAUCUCACAGAGAUUAUUGUCUAUUGACAUUAAACAAGAAAAAAAAAAAAGCCCCAAAGGAUUGAACGGUUCAAUCCCCUUUGGCUGCUGGCCAUCGUAAAAACCGGAAGUGUGUUUAAAGGUCGGGAAGUUAAGGGUUUGAUCUUUUAUCAUUUGUCACUAAUAUAUGACUUCUUUAAAUUUAAAUGGGUGUGUAAUAUAUUCGUUUAUUUUUCUUGAUUGAGCUGGCCCUCUCUUAAAUAAGUUAUACUAGAAUAGGAGUAAAACUAAUAUAGAAAUUGCCUAUUGAUAAAGAAAAAGAAAAAGAAAAAGACCCAAGCACCAAACCGACGCCAAAGAGCAACAAACGACGAAACAGAGUAGGUCCAAUCCCCAUCCCUUUGCCAUACCCACGUCAACAAACGACUAAGCCGAGUAGGUCCAAUACCCAUCCCUUCGCCAUACCCACGUCAUGUCGUAAUCCAAUGGGAAUUUUCCGACCAGAAAAAAGGAAAUAGAAAAUUAUUUGGUUUCAUCAUCAUGCCUUUUUACUUUAACUUAACUUGGUCUGUGGAUUGCAUAUUUAAGACCUUCACUCUCUCAAGUCGCACCAUUUCGAUAGUUUAUUCGCUAUUUUGAGAAAAAUUUUGCUUACAAAUGCAUGCAUAAAUGAUCAAACACGCAAUUGAAGAUUGACACGGUUGUAUGGAACCGUUUGUGUUUGGAUUGCAUUUUUCAUGAUUUUUUUUGAAAAAAUUACUAUAGCGAUUUGAUGUAUGCAAGAAAAAAAAGUAAUAAAAAAAUGUGAUUACGAAAAACGACGUAAUUUUUCGAUGGAAAACAGCAAUCAAAACAACUAUGCAAUACUCCAAAUACUACUCAUCAUCACUGGUGACUUUGAUAAAGUUACCGUUUAAAAACUAAAAUGUGAAAUUGUGUUUGAUAAAAUAAAAUUUAAAAAUUGAGAUGUGAAAUCUGACGUCUCAAUUCAUUACGUUAUUAAAUUAUUACGUACUAAAUUUAAUACAUUCGAGUGUAUGUCACGUUAAAUAAAUAGUUUAUCAUUUAAUUUUUUGAGCAAAAUUUAUUUAAAAAAUUUAAUUCCACUUAAUUAUAAAAAAAUUUUCCCACAAGUAAUCUGGCUAAGAUGGAUUGCCCAAUGUCCACAGCAUAGGAUCAACACUACCUGAUAAAUUACAUAAAGACUUUUAUGGGAUUCGUGAGGUAUGCUUCUACGUCAUGAUAAUGACUAAAUCGAACUUAUUCAAAACUUUUUGCGAAGACAAAUUUCUUUUUAACAUGAGUAGACUCUUAAAAAAAGGGAGAAUAGAAAAAAGACAGGACUUGAGGAUCAAGGCCUCACCGUCGCCAUUAGUUGACUUCACAUGUCACGUAAUUUUCUUUUUCUUUUCCCCAAUGUAUAUCACAUUAAUCACACAUAUGCAAUAUUAGUGGGACAUGAGUGUGAUGGCUGUAUAAACACGGUAAUCUAUCUCAGAAACGUCGAAUAGAAGACAAUCGUACUUAUAUUUUGCAGUCGAAUCCAGAGAUCCUCGAGUUGCUUAUCAGACUCGGACACGCACUCUGAUAGUAUAUCACGCAUUGACAACGACGGAGCUCUGCAGAAAGCUGUCUCUUCACGAAAACUUCUUACUAGUUUUCUUACUGCAACAGACAUGUUUAAUCAGACGCAAGCAUUGACAGUAGCAGGAAAGCUCUGAGCGACGUUUUCAUCCGGAAUUUUUCUACUAAGUCAGAACUCUCACCUGCUUGAACUUGCAGGUUUUUUUGAAUUUUUUUCAUUAACAAUCGCAUUUUGUUAGUUCUUAUUAGUUUUUCUCCCUGAUGUUGAAGAAUUUGAUAUAACCAUUAAUUAUUGAAGAGUAUGUUGUGAUUUUAGGUGUUUUAUGUAUAAAAUGACAAAGUGGGAUCUUAUUUGAUAUUCUUAUCAUGGAUAUAGUGACUUUAAUGAGUUGAUAUUCUUGUGACGUUUUUGGGUGCAGAAGAAUAAAGGUAGCCAUGUUGGGAAAUGGGGUGGUGGGGAUUUUAUCAGAAUCAACCAACAAGUGGGAAAGAAGGGUGCCUCUCACGCCAUCCCACUGUGCAAAACUGUUGCAUGGAGGUAGAGGCAAAACAGGGGUGGCCCGGAUCAUUGUUCAGCCUUCUACCAAGCGCAUUCAUCAUGAUUCUCUUUAUGAGGAUGUGGGCUGUGAAAUUUCUGAGGAUUUGUCGGACUGUGGCCUUAUUUUGGGCAUUAAACAACCCAAGGUGCCAACUUUUUCUGCAAUUUGGAUUCUGGGAUAUUCAUUGAUAAUCAGACGGUCAUAUCAUUUUAUUUUAUUUAUUUUUGGGUGGCAGCUGGAUAUGAUACUUCCUGACAGGGCUUAUGCCUUUUUCUCACAUACUCACAAGGCACAAAGGGAAAAUAUGCCCUUGCUUGACAAGGUAGAGUGGACUCAAAAGCUUUUUUUUUUUUUUUUGGGCACUUGAUCUAGACUUGGAUAGUUUUGGCAUUGUUCUGACAUAAUUUGUUAUGUUUAGAUUCUAGCUGAGAAGGCUUCGUUGUUUGAUUAUGAGCUUAUUGUUGGAGACCAUGGAAAGAGAUUACUAGCAUUCGGAAAGUUUGCUGGUAGAGCUGGAAUGGUUGACUUUUUACAUGGAUUAGGACAGAGUAUGCACCUGUUUUUUCAAUCCGAGUUGCCUCAACUUCUUACUUACUCUUUAUGUAAUGCUAUGUAGUUUGACAUAGCAGAGCUAACCUAAAACCAGAAUCUCCUUCAAAUGCUAUUUAUCAGUAAUUUCUUUAAUUUCUCUUCUUAAUGCAGGGUAUCUUAGUCUUGGGUAUUCAACUCCUUUCCUGUCUCUGGGAGCAUCUUAUAUGUAUUCUUCAUUAGCUGCUGCUAAGGCUGCAGUAAUUUCGUUGGGGAAGAGAUUGCCACCAUGGGACUUCCAUCUGGAAUCUGUCCUUUAGUUUUUGUUUUUACUGGUUCAGGAAAUGGUACUCUAAAUCUGCCAUGUCCCCAUUUUUUUCUGUGUUAUAAUGCAAAGAUUAUGAUAUGAUCAUGCUCCAUAUCGGCAUAUGCUAUACUUUGUUUUUCCAUUUUGAUAUCAUUAUUUCUGAAUGCAUUUGUGUAAUUUCUUGCUUGUUCUGUGUUGUUUAUCUUCUAUGCUAUAUGCUAAUACCAUUUGAUUUCUCUAUUGAUCUUCUUAUGUUUUUGAUAUUUUCUGUAGUUUCACAUGGAGCACAAGAGAUCUUUAAACUUCUGCCUCACACUCUGUGAUCCUUGCAGACUUCCUGAAAUAUUUGGGAAGGUAGUCACAGACUUUUUCGUCAAGACAGUACAAUUUACUUCCAUGGACUUCAUUUGUCCUUCAAUGUGUUCAGGCGUUAUUGCAUUUCUCUGGCUGUUGUAAAUUAACUUUUGCCGAUGAAUUGCAUGCUUUUAUGUUGAAGUAGAAAGAAGAACCACAUCCAACCCAAACUUGCUUGAAUGCGUUGGCUGGCCACCUCAGUGGGUUUUCAACUUUAAAACAACAUUAUCAUACCUAUAGCAAUUUUUCAAAAGUUGAAUAAGUGGCUUCUAGAAAUGAUUACUGCAUUUUUGGCUGAUGCUUAAGUUGAUUUUGGAAUUCUCUAUUUUAAGUUGGUUUCUUUGGUAAAAUUGUUUGAGAUGAUACACAAAACCAAGUUUGCUACCAAGCAAUGAUUUGGCUAUUAGUUAUCCAACCCAUGUAAUUGGUAAAGUUGAUGAUCAAGUAUAGAAUUAUUUUCAUGCAAAGUAGACUUGUUCGCAAAUACAAAUUUUAAGAAAUGUUGAGAUUUUUUUUUCUGUCUCUUUCUUUGCUUAUCUCUGAAAUGGACAGUUUUCAUUUAAUGACCAAUUCUUUACUUUAAAUGAUAUCCUUAUUUUUUUUCAUCCCUCGUUCAUCUUUGAGCCUACUAUGUUCGGUCUUACAAAAAUGUGUCUACUGCAUACAGGCUAAAGAUCCUGCCCGUCCAGCAAAGAGAGUCUUUCAAGUUUAUGGCUGUGUUGUAACCUCUAAGGACAUGGUGGAACCUAAAGAACCUUCGAAAUUUUUUGAUAAGGUACACAAUAAUAUCUCUUUUAUUUAGGUUCUGACUCUUCAAUUGAACUUUUUGGAUGCAUGAGAAUGCAGUUUUCUUGGUUAGUCUUUUAGGUUUCAGGAAAGCAACUUCUAUAUUGUGAACUAUAUGUUCAAUGCAAACCUAAAUGUUAAUGUUCACAUGGUACCAUCCUGGAGAUGUCUUCCAAAGCAGUCCAAGGUGCACAUGCCAAGUUUGUGUCAGGACUUCUUGAGUACAGUCUGUGACAGGCGUACAUCUUUAAGUAAAUGAGAGUUUGAGCCAAAAUUAAGCACAUCCUCCCAAUUCUUGUGUCAACGAUUCUUCAUAGUCAUUUGUGGGCCUUAGUCCAACAGUUACUUAUGUUUCCACUUUCCAGCCUUGAAAAAGGAGCUAAUACCAUUAUUACAGUCUUCUGCCUAUUGCUUGGGAGCUAUAGAUGUCUCUGUAUACUGCAUAUAAUGAGAGAGAACUGUAGUUUCAUUGUUAUUAUCCUCUUGCUUUGGAGCUGGUCGACGUACUUAAGCUCACUUUUAUCAACCAAUUCUGCCAGUGUGUGAUUUUACCUGCUUGAUCAGCAUGGUCUAAAAUUAAGAGUUUUGACAAACAUCUGCUUUUCAUGUAAUUCUUUGUGAAGAUAAACUGAGUAAACAUAUCAUAGAAUAAUUAAAUAUCCAUGCAUCAUUUUAUUAGUUCAUUGAUGUCUGAUUCAUAAUGAAAAAUUUGCCGUGUAGUUUUGCUACCUGAGCUAGGUUCUUUGCUUUGCAGAAUUGUAAUAGUUUCCUGCUGAAUGCUAAAUAUAUAAGAGAUGAAAAUAUCUUGUGAACCUUAGAUCUACUUUGUAGGAACUUUUGUUUCUGAACUUCUCUUAAGGAGUUCAGCUGCAGGUUUAGCAUUCAUGUCUAUACCAGUUUUCAAGAUAACUCGUGCAAUUUCUGCUGAUGAUGAAGUUAUGAUUCUUUCAGGCUGACUAUUACGCACAUCCAGAGCACUACAUUCCUGUUUUCCAUGAAAAGAUUGCCCCUUAUGCAUCUGUGAUAGGUUUGUUUUCUUCAUCGUCAAUUUCAGUAAUGAGUUAUGGUAUCACCAAGGUGGGAAAUUAUAUCACAAAAUUCACCAGACAUAAAUGAAUGCCAUGCUUAUCAAUUCAAUCAUACAAGAAUGUUUCUCCAGAUAUAAAGAAACCAAAAAGCAGCUUGGCCGAAGGAAGAAUAACAGAAAUUUGGACAACCCAACAUUUAUUGUAAUACUUAAUUUGAAGAGUAUUAGGCAUGCCUGUUCGUAUUAGUAAUGGUUUUCUUGGGUUGAUAUCAAAGAAACCUCAGGUAUGUAAUGCUGAAUUCCAAGCCCAAACUCAUAUCUGGUGAAUUUUUAAGUAAUUCAGUGUUGAACAGGCUUAAACUUACAUGACUAGGCCAUAAAAUAUCUUCAAACAGUUCAAAAGCAUUGUGCACUGAAUUUGUUUAUUUUUAAAUGUUUAGCUCAAAUUGUUUCUUUUCAUGCAUUGUCCCACUUGCAGUUAACUGUAUGUAUUGGGAGAAAAGAUUUCCUCAGCUAUUGACGACCAUGCAGCUGCAAGAUCUGAUGAGUAAAGGCUGUCCACUCAUUGGAAUUUGUGACAUUACAUGUGACAUAGGUGGCUCAUUGGAGAUUGUUAACCAAACCACAGCAAUUGAUUCUCCUUUCUUUAGGUACGCUUUGGUGGUUUUCACUACAUCAUUGUUGAAUUAUAUUUUCCUUCUAUUCUACAGGACAAUUUGGUGUGACACCCUUCAAAUUAACUGAAUUUGACUAGACAAUCAUUAAAUCUCUCUACCAGGAUAACAUGGUUGUGGUUGUAAUACUCUAGAUGAAAUGGUUGGAAAAAAUACUUAAAUUAGUCAUAUUAUAAAUAGCCAUACCUCUCUACCCUAACAGGGUAGACUCGUAGUCAUCUAACCAUAAAUUCUUAUUGCAUGAAAUUGCUGCCCUGGGAAGUUGUCUGUUGGCAAAAAACUAACAAUGCAUUUAUUUGAUCUUUGGAUAGAUCUUCAUAUGAACUAUGUUUUUCUUGUCAUGUUUAUGAUGCUAGAUACUCUCCAUUGCAUAUUCGAGGUUUAGGCAUCCAGUUGUUGCCUUCAAAUCCUAAUAAUGUUUCCAUGUGUUUUCUUUUUCUUUUUUUUCCCUGAAGCAUUUCUUUUCUUUUUCUGUGCCAUUACUUUUGACAAUGAUUGGUUCUAGAUAUGAUCCUUUCCAAAAUUCGUACCAUUAUGAUCUGGAGGGUGAGGGAGUGAUCUGCUCUGCUGUUGACAUUCUUCCAACCGAGUUUGCAAAAGAGGUUAUUGUUAUGCUUUAUCUAACAUCAUCUUCUCAUCUUCUUUGACAUAAAUAUGCUAUGGUUGUCAUGUCUUAUUAACUUUAUCUCCUCCAUUAAUCACAAAUAAAGGCUUCCCAGGGAGAUAUUUUAUCCCAGUUUAUUGGAAGCUUAAUCUAUACCAAAUAUUGAGGAGUUACCUCUGCACUUAAAGAGAGCUUGCAUAGCUCAUCGUGGAGCACUGACUCCACUUUAUGAAUAUAUACGGCGGAUGCAAAACUCUGAUGUUGAGUAAGUAGCUCACGUAAUCUUGCUUCUCCUUCUGUCUGUUAUAUUUAUUCUCACUUCAAGAUACUUGUCAAUUACAAUUUCAUGCACAGCAAUUGCAACUUAGAUGCUCUAGUUUAAUGAUUAGCUUCUAAAACCUUCAUUCCUAGAACUCAACAAGUGUUGAGCAAUCCCACAAUUAUUUCGUAAUUCAUAGCAAGUUCUCAAUGUAAAUCCAUACUCUGAAAAAUGAAAACAUCACAUUAAUAUGAUGCAUCUAGGUUUGUACCCGUAUAAGUCUAUAGGUAUCAAGUCAACUUCUAACUAUAUUGAAGUCAUUGAAUUGAAAACCAUCAUGUUUAUGCUUAGUUUUGUAAUGUAGAAGUUUAGCUUGAAAGAAAAUAUUAUUAGGGCUUGUGGAUUCAUGCUUUCAAGGACCCUCUAAUUUAUGCUACUUUCUUUUGGAGUAUUUUAUUAAUUUCAUCUUAUAAUUGCUUUAUUCGAGACAUUGAGAAAUCGAGAUAUUAUUUCUACUUAUGUGUACUGAUUUAGUGUUCUUUGUUGUGAACUUUGUACAAGUUAGAUCUUGUAUGAAAUUCUUACUUCCAACAUGAUGCCAAACAAUUCACGUAAUGUGUUUUUAUGCAGAGAUCCUUCUAGAAAUCUUGAAAAAGUCUACCCUGAUAAGAAGAAGUAUACUACAUUGGUAUGUUUCUCGGUAGACCACCUCUGCUACUCCGUUAUAGUACACUGCAUUUGGCAUUCUCAGCCAAAGGAAAUGCAUGCCCAGAACUGUUACUUGGUUCUAAUAGUUAGUAAUACUAUUCUUCGCUUUGGGGUAUUCUUUAUCUUUGCUCUGGGUAUGGAUUUGUAUAAAUGUUGUUAUGUGAUGUUAUAUUGCACCAAAUCUUCAUAUUUUUCUGUUCACAAGAAAAAAAAAAGGAACUAAAAAAUGCACUAUCUUUUUGUUGAAUACUAUUGGCUGUACAACAACAAAAAUAAAAUUAAAUAAAUAAACAAAGUGCUAAAAUCUAGAGCAAUUUUGCGCACUGCUCUUUUUUCUCCCUCCCUGAUUCUCAUUCCUCUCUCAAACAACGUAAGCUGCUCUUUCUUUGAUUCUUUGUCUUUAUCCUCCUUCUCUCUUGCUGCAAAUAUGCUUUUUUUCUUUUCUUUUUCUGUUUCUCUUCAUUGAAGUGAUGCUUUCUUCUCUGUUCUUCUUUAACCUGCUGUUAUUUUCCUCCUGUUAUUUUGGUUUUUUUUUCACUUAAGUUAUCUUCUCCUUCUUUUGGGCCUAAAAUUGGCGUGUUAUAAGCUGAAACUUGUCUUGCUGAACUUUCUGGUCUUGAAAGAAUUUGUAUGCUGAAAUUUUUAGUGCUAAAAAUCCAUCAAUAGCUAUAGAUUACAAUAGGCAAUGCUUCUACAAUUUUCAUCCGUUAUACUUGACUAGCUGCUCUUGGUGAAGCAUGUGGUUGAUUAAGCUGUAGGAAACUUUGAGGCUUUAACAGAAAGUGAAUGUGCUUAAAGAACUCAUACUUCUAUGGUGGAAACAUCAAGUCAUGAUUGUCCCUAAAUAUAUUUUUUUUGAAAUUCAUGCUUUUAAUUGACUCUUAAAGUCACUCUUUACUCUGUCAAAUGACAGGUGUCUCUAAGUGGUCACUUGUUUGAUCAAUUCCUUAUUAAUGAGGCUCUGGAUAUUAUUGAAGCGGCUGGUGGCUCCUUUCAUUUGGUUAAAUGCCAAGUGGGCCAAAGUACAGAUGCUAUGUCUUAUUCAGAACUUGAGGUGAGUAAACCUGUAACAUUGGUUCCUCAAAACAAAAAAGAGGAAUUCAUACUCAUUGACAGGUGCACCAAUACAGGCACAGUUCUUACAAAUCAUAAUUGGAAAUCAAUUGCUGACACUUGCAUGUGUAUUUUGGCUUUUACUAAAGUCUGAAGAUUGCAUAGAAUAUGUAAUGAAGUGGGACAAAAACAGUUGCUGGUGAUCAAUAAAGAUUGGAUAGAAAUAUCUCUCCUACUCUUCAUAAAACUCAUUCCAACUUCUGAUUUGAAAUUUACAGCUUAAAAACCAGAGACAUCUCUGCCACCCAAAUAUCCAAUUACUUCAUCCUUCUAAAAAUGACUUUCUGAUCAUCCGGACAUGGUUAUCCUGCUAGUGAAAGUUCUUUUAGGCUACUCAUACAUAUUUGCCUUUGAUUGUUGGCCUUAGGCUACUUCUUUUCCCAACCUGCUUUUACUUGUAUUAGUGAUUUCAUGUUUUGGACAGGUCGGAGCUGAUGAUAAAGAAGUCCUGGACAGAAUAAUCGACUCUCUAACUUCAAUUGCUAAUCCAAGUGUAGAAGAUGGAUUUGCUGAUAUAACAAAAAAUAAGAUAUCUCUGAAGGUUGGUAAAUUCUAUGAGAAUGAAGUAGAGAAGGGAUAUGAUAUGAAGAAAAAAAAUGUAAUCCUCAUCUUAGGUGCGGGGCGUGUUUGUCGACCAGCUGCUGAAUUCUUGACAUCAAUAGGGAGUUUUCCAUCACAACAAGUUCUGAACUCAUGUCUGGAAGCUGCUUUUGAGGAGCAAAACUCCAUUGAAGUUGUUGUUGCUUCUCUAUACCUGAAGGAUGCAGAAGAGGUACAGCAGAAUAAAGUUUUGCAGUAUAUCAACCUGUUAAAGAGGGAAAAAAAGUAGAAAAACAGAAGUCCGUUGCCCUUGCUUUGCUAUUUUGUUUAUCCCAAUGCAUGUCUGAGUGAAGCAUAUAAUGACACGUUUGGCAUUAGCCAGCAAAUUUUUCGUCAUUGAUUGCUUACUUGUUUAUUCCCUUGUCGCCUGUCCAUUUUCUGUAUAGUAUUCUGAAAUAAAUUUUCAUUUCACUUCUCGGUGCAGAUUAUUCAAGGAAUUCCAAGUGCAACAGCAAUUCAACUUGAUGUGAUGAAUCAUGAAAAUCUUCAUUUUCACAUUUCACAGGUAUAAUCUGUACAUGUUCAUCAAAGAAUGUUUAAACAAAUUAAACUCCAGUUGAAGAACAAGGAGAAGUUGGCAUCCUGUUGGUGCCUUGAUAGUUUAGAUGCUAUAUUUCUUGUUAUAUUAUGUUAUUCAACUACACCAUCAACCUGUCAACAUUGGUGAACAUUUAGCAGCUGAAUUGGUUAUGAAAUCAUCUAUUUUGGUGCCGCAUCCAUAAUCUUACUUUGUCAAUAUCCUACCUUCAUCUUGUGCAGGCUGAUGUUGUUAUCAGUUUACUUCCUGCUAGUUGCCACAACAUCAUAGCAACUGCUUGUAUUGAGGUACUAAGUGAUACCUUCAUGUUCUUGAAUUUGAUUAGGUUUUUUGUUAGCUCUAACUGAAAUUGUACAGCCCAGAAGUAGCUGAGCCUACUAGAAAAUUUUGGUUAAAGUCAACCACCAAGGACAAAAUACUGGAGUUCAUUUAUUACAUCUUCUUUCCUACUUUUUUUUUUUUGGGAACAAAGCCACCUUGAGAUGGUUAGGGGUUUGGCCCAGAAACUUACUGCUAAUAAAAAUAAUUGGAAGAUAAUUACAAGGUACCCUAAUCUUUAUCUGCUAAGUGAUCACAACCUCUGAAAAUGAGGUUAAAAGAGAAAUUCUUGCAUGUGACAGUCCUCUGUCACUGAACUAGGUCAAGGUUACGACAUCAUCUCAAACUUUUCUCGUUUUCAUUUUCUGAACUUAUACAAUAACCAUGAUGUCUUGGGGCUUUACAGGUUACAUAGCAAAAUGCUCACCUGACCCAGUUAUGCCUUUUUUAUUUUUAUUUUUUGUUUUAUUUUUUGCAUAAGACAAUAUCUUGUCACCUCUCCUAAUUGCAGCUGAAGAAACAUCUUGUUACUGCUAGUUAUGUUGAUGACUCCAUGUCAAAGCUAGAUGAGGCAGCAAAGGUUGCAGGUAUUACAAUUCUUGGUGAGAUGGGCUUAGAUCCUGGAAUAGGUAAACUUCAUCCUGGUGCUAAAAAAUGCUGAUAUUCAGUUGGACAUUCAAUUGAUUAAUGGUUAACACUUUCUCAUUGCAGACCACAUGAUGGCGAUGAAGAUGAUUAAUGAAGCACAUAAACGAAAUGGGAAGAUUAGGUCCUUUACUUCUUACUGUGGUGGUCUUCCAUCUCCAGCAGCUGCAAACAACCCAUUAGCUUAUAAAUUCAGGUAUUGCUCCUUGAAGUUUGCUGCAUUAGAGGUACACUCGUCAAUCAACAACGUAUUAGCUUCUUUAGGUCUCCUGUUGCUUGUACAGAAGUAUAUUGUUCUCCUUCCAAUUCAGCAGAAUGUGAGCAUUGUACUUUUAGUGACUGCAUAAUAUAUCAUGUUCAGGCUCUGUCUGUGUCCCACAAGCCCUCUGCUGCUUAUAAUGUCAUAUUGCAUGUCUCAGAGAUGAGUUAUGUAUGAGUAUUUAAAGUUCCUGUCGAAAUCAUUUUCAUUCCUUUUUUGUGCAUUGUAUUUAGUCCCUCGUCAAGAUAAACAGACGCACUGAAGUAUACCAUUUCAAUAUUACUGUCAGUUGGAGUCCAGCAGGGGCUAUUCGAGCUGGGCGCAAUCCAGCCACCUAUAGAUAUCAUGGAGAGAUUGUACGUGUCAAUGGUGAGUUAUCAAUAUCUUAAUGACUAGUAAAUGUAGAAGUAACCACCAUGUUCAGGUUCGUUUCCUUUGAUCACAAAUCUAUUACUUGCCAUAUGAUUUGUCAUGAAUAAUCCUCUGUUGACUUCAUCUUUAUGUGGGUUCACAAAUCUUUUACUUGCCAAUAUGAUUUAUCAUGAAUAAUCCUCUGUUGACUUCAUCUUUAUGUGGGUUCUGAGUUUUUAUUCUCAUUGUUUAUGUAAGUUUCCCAUCAGAUAAGAUAGUAGCUUCUGAUAUAGUAAAAUGGUAACUAGUUCUGGAAUUGUUGCUAGGUUUUAAUGAUAGUAAUUUGUAUUAGCUUCUCCUAAUAUGGUGUCCAAGGCGUUAAUUCCUAGCUGGGGCUUUAAAGUUUGUUUGUCUUAGCAAAAGAAUAAUUACACCUUUUCUUCCUUAAAUUCUUGAUUAUUCCUGAUGCAUACAUGCAGGAGACCACCUUUAUGAUUCGGCUUCAAGGAUUCGGCUAGCAGAUCUUCCAGCUUUUGCAUUGGAAUGUCUUCCAAAUCGCAAUUCUUUACUGUAUGGAGAGCUAUAUGGAAUAGAAAAUGAAGCAUCAACAGUUUUCCGUGGAACCCUGCGUUAUGAAGGCAUGAUAUGUCUCUGUGCUUUUAUAUUAUGUCAUCUCUAGGUUACACAUUGUAUUAUUUUCUCAUACUUUGGAUUGAGGCAAUUCGCAAUAUAAAUCCCUUCAGAUAAAUAAAUUUAUCAUUGACACUUUAGUUAAUAGGCAUAACAAUUUUUAAUGCCACAUAAAACUAGAUAUCCAAGAUGUUAAAAAACUUGGCAAUUUAGGUUGUCAGGUUGAGAUUUUUAACAUUCAGCCCUUUAAAUAACUAGAAAUGUUUAUAAUACAUGAUUAAUGAGUCGAUUAGCUUAUGUACAUAAUUUGACAGAGUGAGAAUUAUAUUUCAAGGAGAUAGUGUUAAGUAAUCUAUUAGUGUUAAGACUGCAUUUGCAUAUCCUGUAUUCAGUUUUCAUACGCUAUUAAAAUGUUCUAAGAAGACAUACUUUACCUUUCUGGAUUGCUCAGGCUGUCAGAUACCAGUUUGAUUGCGGGUUUUAGAAGAGAUUUUGAAAAGAAUAACACUUCAUGGUGAAGUGUGAGUAUAUGACAAAAAGGUGGUUGGGAGCAUGUUUGAGAAAAAUUCCAAAGAUACAUGUAAUAAAGUGAUUCUCUGUAAGGUUAGCAUAUGCCAAACUCAGUUGGGUAAUUUUAACUGGACUAUCUAAAUGUAAAAAAGUUAGCUAUUUAGCCAAACAAAUCAUGCAUGUCACAAACAAAGCCAUCUAGGGACUGGUUGAAACAGAUACAAUUGGUCAUAACAUGAAUAGACAAACUAAGCAUUUUUCAGAACACGCCCAUUAAUGUUACAUUACCGCCAUACUUGAGAAAUCAUCUACAAGGCCCAAAGGUGCCUUGUUUAUUUCCUUAUGGGUCAAUAUUUGGAAAUUUAAUGGCUUGAUGAUAUGUAAAGCUAAUGCAUUCAUAUAUCAUGCAGGUUUCAGUGGUGUAAUGGGAGCACUUGCAAAAAUUGGAUUCUUCAAUACCGAAGCUUUGAGUACCCUCAACAAUGGUGAAAAGCCCACAUACAGAAAAGCUUUACUUCAACUUCUUAGAUUAAAUAAUAAUAAUUUGGAUGGGUUGGCUAUGAAUGAGAAGGAAAUUACAGAAAGAAUUACUACACUUGGAAUUUGCCAGGGAGAAAUUGCAGUCAGGACGGCCAAGACCAUUAUGUAAGUAUACGCAUAGAGGUUUGUUCUGCCUAGCAGAGUUUCAUAGACUAGCAGAAAUGUUGAAAGCUUUGCAAGGGGCAGGAAGCUGAACCCCAAUUUUGAAACAACUCCUGCUCCAUCUAAAGGAACUAUAAAAACAAUAAAUAGACGCAUUUGCUUUUGAUACUUUUUGAGUGAACGGAGCGAGAAAUGUCUGUGUGUCCCCUUUUGGUGUUUUAGUUCUUAUUCCUUCUUUUUUCCUGUGUUGGACAUUGCACCCUGUUUCUUCUCUCUUUCACAUUUUUCCAUUAUGAUGUUAAACAUUUCCAAAGUUACUGAUGAAAUUUUGGCAACUUUCUUGGAAUCUUUCAACAGACUCGGUAUCGAUAUUAUGUGUAGAAUAGGCAGAAACUUGUCACGUUUCGUAACUGGAUGUACAUGCUCCCCAGAACUACAUGCCUCAUAUUUCCACUUGCUUCUGGUUGUGACAGUAACUUGCAAAUUUAGUAAUGACACUGAUUAUGAAUAAUUUUGAAUGAGAACAAUAAUUUCAAUAUCUUAAAUCUUUUUGCCUUUUCUUAUUGCGGUUUGCACUGUGUUGAAGUAAAGUCCCCAAGUAUUAAAGCUCUAUGAAUUUCCAUUUUGAAACAGGUUUUUGGGAUUUCACGAGUCAACAGAAAUACCAGCAUCAUGUCAAAGUCCAUUUGAUAUUACCUGCCUUCUCAUGGAAAAAGCUUUAGUUUAUUCAGGCACAGAACAAGUAAUUGGCCAUGCAUUCUCUGAGUUACAGUUUUGUAUAUGCUGCUCUUGCUAGUCGUGUAAUAAAGUUGUUGGUGGGUAGGACAUGGUUUUGUUGCACCACGAAGUUGAAGUAGAUUUUCCAGAUGGCCAACCUGCGGAAAACCAUCGAGCUACAUUAUUGGAAUUUGGAGGACCAAGGAUGGAAAUACCACAACAGCAAUGGCGCUUACGGUUGGGAUUCCAGCAGCAGUUGGAGCUCUGGUAAUGACUUGCUUCAGUUUUCUGGUCUUGCAAAUCUGGUUUUGAUCAAUUUAUCGAACUAGAUCCAUCUUAUAUCAAACUAUUGCAGCUUUUGCUUGCAAACAAGAUCCAAGUAAAUGGUGUCGUAAGGCCCAUUAUAUCAGAAGUCUACAUGCCAGGUAAACUUCUUGUCUCUUCUUUUAUUUAGGUUCUUUGGUAGGGAAGAAGAUACUCAUGUUUUGAUGCAUUAUCUGACAAAGUAAGACAAGCAUCAAGAUUACGUGCGCGUCUCCUUCAAUAAAUGAGAUACGCAAGUUACUUUGGUUUUUUUCUAUUUUGCAGCGCUCGAGAUUUUGGAGGCCUAUGGUUUCAAGUUGUUGGAGAAGAUCGAGUAGCCAAACAGUGAACUUUGUAUUCUUGUAAAGCUGCAAGUUUCAGAUACGCAUUUGAAUUCAAUGAAAAUAAGCACUUUUCAGGCCAUCCAACCAGAUGGUCCCCAGUAUACUCGCAAGCUAGGGCAGUGUAUUAUUUUGUAAAUUACAUGAACACAGCAUAAAUAGAGCAUGAAAAGGUGGAUGCAGCUCUGUCCCUUCCCUUCAAUCGAAUGUCAUUCCUUUCUUAUUUGUCUUAAUUCAGAACGAGGGAUGGAUAAAUUUUAUUUAUUUUUUUAAAUCUUUCCAUCCCUCUCCACACUCUUCCCGCCCUGAGCGUCAAGCAUACAAUUUGAACCUGCACAUUGAUCAUAAAUUUUUCAAAAUUAUUUUUAAAGAUGAAUAGUGUCUCUAAUUCAUGUUAUUGAUGAUAUAAUUGGUAUUUUUGUAGACAUUUAAAUUAAACUUCAAUUAGUCAAUUUUAUUGUCAGCAAACGAGCUGUUACUAUCUGAAUAAUCUUCACAGUCGAUAUUUGGCAUAAUUAUUUAUUCAUCAAGGGUUAGUCAAUGAUGCUUGGAUUUGUUUACUCAAGUCAUAAAAAUCUAGAUACAGGGAAAGGAAAAGGAAAAGUAAAUGGGGCGAGAAUUAAACAAUCUAGAACAGCUCGAUAGUAUUUUUUAGCUAAUUCUGAGAAUCUGUGAAAACAAAAUGCCUGUUAGUGGUCUGUUUUCAUGAAUUACCCUUAACAAGUAAAACAAUCGUUCUUAAGUUAAAAACAUUUGCAUUUGUUACAUGGCAGCAAUUGUUAUUAAAAGGACAUGAGCUAUGUAAGCCCAUCGACUCUAUUAUAGAGCUGGAAAACUUAUUCCGAUGCUUACGGACAGAAGAAUAGGCGUUGCAGCUGCAGAAAGGGGUCUAGUUUCUUGAUCAAUUAAUGAGAAUGGAUUAAUAUUUUGAUUACUUUUAGCGCUUGCUUUUGACAGAUCCAUAGUACCCUGCACCUCCAGCAGACCGAUGCAAUGAAGUCGCCCAUACGUUGAAGACAACAUUCCAUUCCAGCAUGGGGUAAACCGGGCAAAACAAACGUUUUAAAAAAGAUACAAUGCAAUGUCAAACCAAUCAAAUACUAUUGAUCCUAAAAUGUCUUUUGUCACAAAAAGAGAGUUAAGCACCUAAACUCGACAGUAUAUAACAUAUUACAGGCUUGCAAAUCCAAGGAUUGGUAAAAUCUUGUUGAACAUGGUGCGUAAAACCGUACAAUCGAUCCUUGGAACCGUUUGAACCAUAAGUGCAAAAGUGUUUACUAAGAACAGAAGCAUGCCUAAAUUUCAUGUUUUCCUCCUACAAUGAAAUAGCUGUGAUGCUUGAAUGGGCCUUGCCACGGCAAUUUUACAGGCCAAAACCCAUAUUGACCUCCUACAAUCCCCAAAUAGUGGGGAAAAACCACUUAUCGGAAGCAGUUCAUAGUGUCUUCCUCUAACCUUCCUCUUUCUUUGGUUGAUGCAUCAAGGACACAACUUCCCCAGUAGUAUCAAGUUGGCUGCUUUGCCAAAAGCCAAUAACAUAGGAAAGUACCCAUCUCAGGAUAUUCUCUGAUGCUUCCCAGUAGAAUCAAUUUAUUAAAUACUUACUAUAAACCAAGAGUAACUAGGAAUCCUAGAAAUAAAAAAAAAAAUUAAAAAAAAAUCUCAGGAUUUUUCCAACGAAACUAAGUGAUGCUCCACCUCUUGCCAAUUGUAAACUUUAGUGACCAGAGGGUGUUGGUUAACAGACUCUGUCUUACACCAAGGGUAAGAAUUCUCAUAAUCAAAGAGAAGAACCUUAAUUCCAACUUCAGCGCACUCAAUGGCAUAUCUUGGAUUAUCAUCAAUCAAAACUUUUGCUCCCAAGGUCCUGACAGAAACAUAACAAUAAGCCACAAAAUUCAAAGAUUUCCAAGUAAAUAAUCCAAAAAUCCCUGGUAAGAAACUGAACUGACUGACAGUGUGUUGACCAAGACAAAGAUAUAGAUGGUAUACAUGCUAACGCAAUAAAUUCGGAGUGCAGUUUUCUGAUAAUUUUUAGAAAAUCCUCAUUUACUGGUGGACAGGCAAAAAAAUUUGAAACAUAAGAUUAUUAAGGCCAAAGAUACAAUAUACCGGCAAAUUUCAGAUUUAGGUCUGGAUUUUCCAUCCAAUGCAAAAUGAUUGCCAAAGUGGAUCUCCUGAAAAAGUCCUGGAUAAUGAUUCUCGAUCCAUUCAAUUGUGUGUUCUUUAAUUGCAUUUGCCGGGACCUACAUAUAUGAGUCAAACUAAUUGAUUGCCAUAUGCAAAGGAGGAAGAGAAAGGGGAAAUCAUGUGAGAUCCACAAAAUACAUACGUAACUAUGGACAGAUCACAAAAUCUGGACAAGUUUUGAAGAGCCUGCCGAGCACCUGGGAUUGGAUGAAUCCCUGUUCUGAAGUAAGACGUCUUAAAAAACUCAUGAACACGUGUAUCAGCUGUCACAAGAAUAGGAAACUCUUGUCACAUUAAAAUCAUUUUAGUAUGCAACCUACAGAUAGGUUAAAUUUUAACCAAAUAAUAGAAACAAAGGAUCGAACUACACCUUCAUCCCGAGAACAGUUCCAUAUCUGCAAAAACAGAUCAAAUAUAAAUCAGGGAGAAGAAGAGAACAUAUGUUUCUCUACUACUAACUGCAAGUACUUAACAGGCAUGAUCAUAUGGCUUCAUAAUGGCCUAAGUACUCUCUCAUGUACACGCACAUGGACAUUUGUGUUUGUCCACACAAAUGUAGUAGUAAACGUAAAAUUGAAGAUUAUGGGCAAAGAACUCGUACAAGAUCAGCCAAAAUGAGGAAAGAGGAGUGGCAGCUAACACCUUGGAAUGUGAACAGUAUUCAAUGCGAAAGAAUAAGCUAAAGUAUCGCAAGAUAAUGCAAAAUUUUAUCAGCUAACACCUUAGAAUGUGAACAGUGUUCAAUGUGAAGAAUAGCUAAAGUAUCGGCAAGAUAGAUGCAAAAUUUUAUCCUCAUGGUAGAGAUUUUCUACACCAAGAAUAGACACUUCAGCCAUACAGUCCACCUGAAAUAGAGGCUGGAAACAAAAAAUUCAAACGUUGAUCAAAAGCUGCCUUCUCUUCCCAUCUUUCCAGCUCCAGUAGAUCCAUUAAAAAGUAAGGCAAAUCCACCAAACACCAAUUAAUAAAAAGACAAGUGCCUAGAACCCACAUCCCACGAAACAAUGUAGGGGCAAAGGAGAAAAGGUCUCAAGUCUUUUCGCUCACUUAUACGGUACUGCAACAACUAGGGACGAAUUCAAGUACUCUUGAGAUGAUAAAGUGUCAUGGAAAAUGCAACGAACUGGUCAAGCAAGAACAGGGGAGUAAAUGGUUGCAUUCAGUAUGUCAUAGAAAGAUUUCACAGUUACCACUGGAUAUAGUCGGCUCCAGCAAGCAUCAGUUUCAGUCGUCGUACUGAAGCAUACUAAACAAACUAGAGAAAAGUUUCAACACUUGCAAUUUCCAAUGGUAAAUUUGCAUGCUUAAAUCUAGUUCCAACUGGCAUCUCAGUAUGUCAUAGAAAGAUUUCACAGUUACCACUGGAUAUAGUCGGCACCAGCAAGCAUCAGUUUCAGUCGUACUUUGACUGAAGCAUACUAAACAAACUAAAGGAAAAGUUUUAGUUUCAACACUUGGCAAUUCCAAUGGUAAAUUUGCCAUGCUUUAAAUUAUGGUUCCAACUGGCUCUAUUUCUGAAGUUCAAAGCAUCAUGAUUCAAGGCCAGAUCCAUCCAUGGCAACAAUAAAUAGAAACAACCAUCAGUCUUAAUAAUACUGUGAAUAGAUAAUAGAUAUUUAACAGAUUAGCAAAGAGGUCUGUCACUGCACCCAGCACAGCCAGAGACAGCAAAAGUUUCACCCAGCCACCAUUGCACAUUGAAAAGCCACAUGCAUGGACAAUUCAUUCACCAAUCCUUUCACAAUUUGUGUCCACAACUGCAGAAAAAAAUCCAACUUCCACUAAUAGAACCACCAUCUCUUGGCCAAUUAAAUUUCAAUGCUCAUGAUAGAUCAAUCCAUAUCUCGAGACAGUUCCUCAGUGCCUUGUUUCCAAACUAUUAGUAGUAUUUGAGCAGAAAACUUUCAAUUUUUUGCAAAGUAUUUGCAAAAAGAAAGCCACAUGCGUGGAAGUAUAGUUAAACUGUGAAUUAUGCGACCAAGAAAGGAAGAAGAACGAGACAAGAGAAGAGUAGAUAACAGAAGAAAUAAAGAAAAGAACAAACAGCGACGGAGUUAGAGCACCAAAAGCAUGGAGGAAAGAACUGGACCAGUAAAUUCUUUCCAAUACCCCAUCCCAGGAGGGGAAACUCAACCUUUCCUUGUAUUUAAAAAGGCCAUCUAUAUUGUUACCAGCUUCACUGAUAAAGGAAAAUUGACUGCUUAUGUACCCAAUGAGAUGAUCUAUUCCUACAGCUCAUGUGUGCAGUGAACAAACAAAAUGAGUUACAAGUUUGAUCAUGGACCAGGCUCUUCUAACUUCCUAAAGGGCAUACCUCACAAAAGACAUGUGUAUCAGGGAAAAUAAUCUUUUCGAUAAAAUAAAAAAAGCAUGUCAAUCAUAGUUACAAUCUACUAAAGCAUGAACUAAUAAAUUUCAAGGCCGCAUCUAACACAGGAAAGUUUUGCAUAUAAUUAAGGCACAUUUGAUGUUCAACUUCUUCAGAGACAUGUCAUGCAGUAUUAAAUGCCAGUUGAUGAAUACCUUGCAAAACUCAUAAACAUGGUAUUCAGAAACUGAGUGAUUUGAGGAGUAUCGAUCUGCAACAAACCGAUUGAGAGCUGAUACAAAGUUGCCAAGAACUGCAAGGAAAAUCAGUAGAGAAAGCAACAUCCACAUUAGCAGAGAGAACAACAGUAACCUAAAGUACAAACUUAUUGAUUUGUUGACAUGUCUUCAGCAGUGUUCGAGAAAUCUGCUUAAGCCAGUAAAUCCAGGAGAUUAAAACUAAGCAAUUGAACCACCGACAACAAUUAUUAAACUUAACAUGAGAGUCAACCAGUCUAAUCUCCAGUUAGAAUUACGUAGGACGAAUCACAACUAAAAUGAAGACAUCAACAACACCGUUCGACGAAAGCAGAAUGAAAACUAUCCGAAUGCCAACCAUUCCCGCCCUUGGAGUAACCUUUGACAACGAGAAAAAAACACUAACAGUAGCAACUUACAUGUAACAGCGAUAACAAAAAAAAAAUCAAUUUUUUAAACCAAGUUUCAAACUGCAUUGUAUAUCCUACAGCGUCAAGAUUAACAGUUGUAAAUUGAAACACAUGGUACUCUGAGGAAGCUAAUCCAUUACUGUUUUCCUUCUUUAUUUUCUUCUUCAUUUGAAUGGGAAGAGGUUUUUUACCCUCGUCAACAUCAACGGCGACUGCAAUUUUCUCCGGCGGCAAAUGCUGAUCCUCAGGAAAUUCAACGGAGCCUCCUCUAUCAUUCCGACACCUUCCGCCGUCAUCACCAUGGCCGUCAAAGCAUUCUCCAACCUGAACUUAAUAUCCUUAGAAACUAGUUCACGGAACAAAUGCUGCUGCAAGCUUGGCGCAAUUGCCCUAGCCUUAUGCAGCCAAAACCCCCCACCACCACCGCCGCCGCCGCCGUCCCCAGCAUUACUAAACCCGGCAUUUUUAUCAUUUUUCUUAUUAAUAUUCUCAGAUGAGCCGCAUCCUUUAAGCCUCAAACAAAUACUUCUUGCUCCUCCGAACCCCCCGCCGCUACUAUGUAAAUUCAAAUCAAUAGCUGAAGAAGCUGAGGAAAAGGAAGAAUUUUGAAUGGAUAAAAAUGGGAAUAAAUCCUUACGGCCAACGGAAAAGGUGGACGGCGCCGCGGCCAUUAAAUAAAGCCAGCAAUGGUGGUGGCUGUAAAGGCGGUGGUGAUGAUCUCUUCUAUAUAUAGACACAGAUACUAAGCGGAAGAAACAGCUUCGCCUAUGUAUCAUAAUAAUAGGUAUGAAUGGAUUUUUGUUUUUUAAUUUAUUCGAUCUAUUGCUACAUCUAAAAUUUUAGGAAAGUGAGAGGAAGAAUAAAGGCGCGUAGCUUAGCGAAAUCUGAGCAAUUCAAGAAUGGAAUGUUCUCUUGGAAUAGAAUAUUUAUUGGAGGAAAUGACGAAUGUGUAGAAAAGAGGGCAGAUUUCAGCUUCAUUUUUUCUAAGAGCCUUUUUCUUGUUCUUGCCCUAGAGACAUUAUUAUUAAUAUUGUUCUGUGGUUGAAAUUUGCAAGUACUCAAGAAUUGGAGUCUUGAAUAAAAAAUAAUAAAAAGAAAGUAACUAGCUCCUCCAAAUUGCCCGGUUAAACACUUGAUAAUCCAAACAAGGUUGUUGACGUAAGCACAAAUGCUCUUUAAGACGCCUAAUAAUUGUAUUCUGUUUAUCAUUUACAUUCACGCAAUCAAGGCUCUAAGACAAUUUUUCGAUUUAACUUUAUAAUUCUUCAAACAAUUAACAAGACUAAUCACAUCUCUUUUAGAUACUUUUCCAAUUUAAUUUUAUCAAAAACACUAAACGGGUCGUCAUCUUAAUUUGUACACCUUUUCAGUUAUUUUUUGUCAUUUAGUAGUAUAGUGCACAUAAGAACACCAUAUAUUUAAAAAAAAAAAUUCUAAAACUUUUUUAAUUGAAGGUGCUACAGAUGUAUUUGAACUCAAGCGUCAAAUUUGCCAGAAAACAAUUACGUUGUAUACUUUUUCUUCUCCAGGUACAAGUAUUAUCAUUGUGGUUAAAAUUGAGAUAUUAUCAUCCUAUAUAAUAUUGAGAUUUCAGGAAUUAAAAUAAGAGAUUAUCAUUGAGUGGAACUUGAAAAAACUCGUAUCCAACUAAAAUAUACUCCACCUAUUAAUAAUGGAAAAAAAAAAAAAAGCAUCACAGACAGACGCAAGAUGGAAGUCACAAGCCAAUCGAAACUGUUUCCAUACUUGCAUUUUCAAGAGCUUCUCCACAGUUCCGCAAGGUGGAAGAAGGAACAAAAACAAGUUACAUUCAUGUAUGGACGUAAACCGGAAAACAACAAAACAACUCCGCUAAUCAAGCAUAGUGUAGCCAAAGAAUAUCCAAAUUCUAUUCAGCGUAGGUUGCAAUCAACGUAGUGCCUAGGAAUCAGCUGUCAUCAAGGGAACAAAGACUAGCUGACAAAAGCUAGCAGUCCAAGCAGAAAGGACCAGGCAAAGAUUGAAUUAUACAUUCUUCCGGCUGAUGAAGUGGUUUUCGAGUCUUCCCGCCUUUUCCAACGUCGAUCAUGAUCUCAAAUCGACAUGCGCGCGCCCCGAAUUCGAGUACUAGGAUCGAUGGAAGUGAUCACCGCCAAAUUGGAGAACUCGUCGCACGACCCUUUCGUCUGAUUCAUGGUCUGAAAAUACAUGUUGAAUGCAUAAGAAGCAUUGUUUCUAACAUCCAGGCCCCCACAAGACGAUCCGUAUCCAAGGCUCGUGCAGUCUGCAUAGGUACAGGCCUUGUUUAUGCUCUGUGGCAGAUUGGGAUCCGAAGGGUCAGCAUCAGGCCUCAUGACACACCAUUGCCUCGACAAAUAUUGAACGCCCUUGGCAGCUGUGACAUUCUUGUUGUUGGCCAAAUUUAAGGGAUAUUUGAUGCUUCCAUCGUAGUAGAAUAUGCCCCAAUGCCUCUCGAAGUUGCCUGGUUCUGUGCUCUUGGCAUCUUCAUCAAUGAGAGCAAACAGGUAAAUAUCAGGCGGGCUCGGCCUUUUUGGCGUUCCUUUGCCUUGAUUUAUGCGGUUGAGCAGACCUUGAUUGAAUCUACGAGCAUUUUCUAUGUUUGCAUUGACGUCGCCAUCUGUUGGCCAUCCAACCUCGCCAACAAUAAUAGGCAUAUUUGGGAAGCCAUUUUUCUCCAGGCUCCAAACUAGAGUGUCAUAAUUGGCUUCAAAGACAUUGCCGUAGGUGACGCCUCCAUCAACUACAGGGGCUGCAGUGCCAUCAAAGAAGGCAAAGUCGACUGGAAAAUGAGGGUCAGCAUAGAGACUAAGGAAAGGGUAUAUGUUAAUGGUCAGAGGGCCUCCAUUGUCACUUAAGAAUUUUACAAUUGAGAUCAUCAAACCCUGGAUGUCAGGGCGAAAGUUGCCUCCUGAUGGCAUGCCACUAUCUGAUUGGUACACAUCUGCAUUGAUUGGGAUGGUUACCUUGACUUGUCUGCCUAAACCUGCUUUGAUCAGGGCAGCUUGGAUAUUUUCAAGUGCUGGAUAUAUUGUAUGGGUGAACAUGUCUUUGUAGGUUUUCAGAAACGGUUCAUUCCCGAUUGCGACGUACCUGAAGACAAAGAAACAGGGAUAUGUUUCUUCAGCUGCUUUUGCUUGUCACCUUGUGGGCAUUAAGAUUUUUAGCUUAACUGUGUUUUGAUGCGAAAUGUUUACACUUAAACAGUGACAAGUUUUCAGACAAGACAUGUCUCUGUAUGUUAUAUGGCCGUUUUCACCACGUUCUUGGAACUUUCUUGGCGAGAGAGAGAACCCUCUAGCUAAAAGCUUCAUUCCUACUGAUUAUUCUUUUCCCCUGUAUAUUUCUUCCUCUUUGUGAGGAAAAACAUGCACUAUACAUAUAAAUUUAUAUAUAUAUAUAUAUAUAUAUAUAUAUAUAUAUAUAUAUAUAUAUAUAUAUAUAUUCUUAGGAGAUGGAAAUAUAAUAUAUCUAUUAUUAUAGGGUCUUUAUAUGAUAAACAUGUAUGAUAGACGGGACAUUUUUAAAAGAGUAUUAUUCACCUAUAAUAUAAUAAUGUAACGAACAUAUUCUCAUCGAUUUAUUGUGUCCAAGUGUUAUCUAAAUAAUUAGGGGACAUCCUAUAGCUUAAGAUUAAGUUCGUAUUUAGUAAUUAAUGCGCAUGAUUCACAACUCCAAUCAAGGAUAUAUAAAGAAUGCAAGAACUAACCUUACGUCCACGCCAUUCCUGGAAACAUAUCUGGAAACAUUUUGGGUUACCCAAUCCUCAGCAACUCGAACACUACUUGCCAAGGAAGCCAACAUAUCAUUUGGUAUCCCUACCAUCACCUGAAUUCCUGAGUUGCCGAGAGCCCUCAUGACAUCAGGCACGACUUCAAACAGCUUCACCUUGUCAAUUCCAUUGUCUUUCAUUAGCUUCACCACUAUAUCAGGCGGAAGGAGAUGCGUUGCUCGCGUUCCCCAGUUGCAUGCCAACCCUUCUGCCAUCAAGACUUCACCUAAUAAACAAACCAAGAACAGCUUAAACACUAGGCGAAAAUCCAUGCUUUCGCGCUAGUCAACUCCCUAAGCUCUCGUUUCUCUCGUCCCUUGCCUGGUGUGCAACUAUAAUUACGUACAAGGCACAAGAAGAAUGCAGUUGAAAAGGGCUUAUAAAGACGUCUUUUUUGUGGAAGAAAAAGGAAGGUAUUACAUGGAGAUUCAACAAGGAACUGGAUUCGAUGUAGCAACCCAUAUGAAUCAACUUGCUUUAUCCAUUUUAUAAUGAACAUCGUAUAGCUUGAGAGAAAGGGAAUCUGCGAAUAAAGGAAUGGAGUAAACGGGUUGAUUUCUUAAACUGCUCAAAUCGGGUGCUAGCUUUCCCUAGGUUUAAGACCAAUGCAGAAGAAAUGUACCCCCGCCAACUUUUUUUCAUCUGUGAUUCGUUAUCUUUCCUGAUAAUCUAGAACAAAUACAAAAAGAAAUAAAAACGUCUAUCUGACUCUUGUAAAGCGCCCUGAACAUUCUUCAAGCUUUGUCUUGUCUUAAAUGAGCUAACUAGAAAAGGGGCUAUCAAACAAGCCAUCCGAUCAUUCAUUAAGCUUUAAAGGUUUUCUUGUUCGGCUGGAACAAGAAUAUUUAACACUAGACAGAACUUGGUCCAUGCAUGGAUACUAGGUUAACAGAAACCAGCUGGAUUCCCGUUACUGCUGAAAUUCGCAAAUUAAAUUCUGUUAUGACUUAAAAAGUCUCCUUUUGUAUUUCCAAGGCCAAAAUGAAAAAGAAGAAUUUGGCCUAGUUCCCUGUUCUCGUAAUUCUAGCGGAAAAUUGUUUGUUAAUCUUGGCUCUGCGUACGAAAGACUCGCAAUUAUUCCUGCACCGGUGAGGCCGUCAUCGUUUGUUAUUGCAGGGUAUUAUUGGUUGACAGCGAUGUUGCAUGAACUUCGUUAAUAUUAGCCCAUUCGAGCUUUCUUCUUGAGACACGUAAUAUACUAAGUUUAGAUGUAUAAUUAAAUUAUUAUUAAGAUAUACUCCCUUCGUCCCACUUUGAUAGUUUUGUUUUCCUUUUUCGUCUGUCUCAAAUUGUAGUUCACUUUCCCAUUAAGAAAUGUAGUAAUAUUUCAAAUUAUCUAAAAUACCCUUAUUAAAUAUCUUGUUAUUAAUACAUUAUUAUUAAAUACUAACCCACUACAUUGAAUACAUUGAGUUUUUACAAUACUAACACAUUAGCUGUAACUGAUAUUAAUUGGCACUCUUCGUGAUUAGCGUAAGGGUAUUUUAGGAAAUUAUUAAUCUAAAUUUAUGUUUCCAACCAAAUUAAUUACACUUUCUUAAUCCAUGUGAAAAAAAAACCAAGACUAACAAAACGGGACGAAGGGAGUAUUAAUGUAUCCACAUGCCACAGUCAGACAUGGCAAUGCAUUGAUUAACAACAUUAAUUGUGUUGCAAUUUUCUCUUUUCUUUUUCUUUUUGACAGAAUAUUCUCUCUCUCUCUCUCUUUAUAUAUAUAUAUAUAUAAAUCCUAAAAAAAUGUAGAACUGUUCAUACAUUACACUUUUAACAUGAAAUGUUAAUUGCUUUUAUUAUAGCCAAAAAAGAUAACAAGAAAAAAAAGUUUAUGAGGGAAAAGACGAAGAAGGGGGAUAAAAUCAGACAGUGAAAUUAAUUAAACAAAUUCACACUCAUUUUAAAACGACAAAACAAGAUAGUAGGAGCAUAAAAUGUAGUAUAUGUUACGUCCUUGUACAAUGCUCAGAGCUCUUAGUUUAAUGGCAGCAGCAGCUUUGAUUUUUAUGUUGUAAAAGUUUAGGAUAUCUGAUUUAGUAAUUGCCUUGCGGGCAUUUUAGCUGAUGGUUUUAUUCUAUAAGAAUCAACAGCUGAAAUUCUCUGUCAUAAUUAUGGAAUACAUAAACUAAAUUAAUUAAAUUAAGUCAAUUGAUAGAAUUAAAUCUAUUUUAUUUCUUUUAAAUUGGCUCCUUUAAUCCUUACCUUCAAAUCACGAUGCAGAAUAUUGUGUUCUGGAAAACUUGUUCAGAUAGUCCUUUCACAAUUUUUAGUUAACAAAUUUUAGUUAACUGUACGUGAGUUGAACGUAAUUGUACCUACAAAAACAACUCAUUUAUGUGCAAAUACCUCGACAGUGAGAACUAACUUGUUCAAUUUUUGGGACAAGUGUGUUUGGAUGAUUGAUCACUAUUUGCAAAAAAUUAGAAAAAUUAGUCAUAUUAUAAAUAUAUUUUUUAAUCACAAUUUUAUCUCACAUCACAUUCUAUUUUUUUAAGGGAUAAUUUUAGAAACUUCCCUUGAGGUUUCAUGAAAUAUCACCUAGCUCCCUUGAACUUUUCAAAAUCUCACUUCACACACCUAGCUCCCUCAUAUUUAAAUUUUCUAAACUUCUUUUUCUUUCUCUAAAUUUCUUGCUUUUCUUUACAUAUAUAUAUUCACAUAUAUACACACACACAUAUACAUAUAUACAUACAUAUAUGUAUGUGUUUGUAUAUAUAUAUAUAUAUAUAUAUAUAUAUAAUGAAUUCCAAAUGUCAAUGAAAUAUAGGAUUUAAUCAAUGUAAUAUUCAACGCAUUUGGAGAAGUAUAGCUGCGGGUUCUUUUUUUUUUUUCCUUUUUUGUGUUUCACAACUUAUUUGUUUGUUUUUAUUCAUUUAGAACGCUAGAGAAAUGAAGUAAUUGAAGCUUCGAACUGCUAUUUUUCAAAUUUUGACUUUUAUUUUUAUAAUAAAAUUUUCAUAUUUCACAUCUAUAAAAAAAGUUGGUUUAUUUUUAGUAAAUUCUCUAUAUGUUAUUGAAAUUGAAUUUCAUCUAUUAUUGAGUUUCUUUGCUCAAAUGUGUGAUUUUUACAUGCUAAUUGCCUUUAAUACUAUGGAGGGGUUUAUUUGUAAAAAUGGUUUCAAAAUAGUAUUUGUUUUUAUUAUUUCUCUUUUCUAUAGCAGUGAUUAUUGACUAUAACAUCCUUAUCAACUUUCAUCCCCUCACUUUUAAGAUGGUUUCAAUUUAAUACUUUUUUUUCUUAGUUUAUAAAAUGAUUAUUUUUUUAUAGCCUAAGUAUAUUAAGGGCACUAAAAUACUCUCUCUCCUCAAACAUGAAUUUUCUAGUAUUACUUUUGGUUAGAAGGGUUGACAAUGCUUUGUUUGGAUUGGGUUUUAUUUCUCAAAAUUUAUUUGUUUACAUCAUCAUUACAAUUUCCAAUACACCUUUUUACUUUCCCAGUUACCUUUUUAUCUCACAUACAUCACAUCACAAAAAGUGCUACAGUAAAAAUAUCUCUAAUAAUUCACAAUCCAAACAGAAAUGUUACCCAAAUGUCAAUUUGAGGGGUGCUAAGUAAGAUUUUGAAAAUCUCAAACGAGCAAAGUGAUAUUUCACAAAACCUCAAAGGAGGUUUCUGAAAUUAUCCCAUUUUUUAAAUACCAAGUUACAGACAUCACAUAUUUAACUUUACAAAUGUGUCAUAUUAUUAUUCCAAAAAUAAUUUGCUAUCUAAACAUAUUCCUAUUUCGCGUAGAUAAUGUGUUCUUAACUAUCGAGUUCAAGAUUUUAAUUCUGUACUUAACAAUUAAUACGGAAAAUGGUUUGUGUUCAAGAUUUGAAUCCUAUACUUAAAAGUUAGGGUGGAAACUUGUUGUGGGAAGGAGGUGGGGGUUUAAAAAAAAAAAAAAACUAGAGUGCAUCCUGAUUUCACGUGGACCAAAGAAGACUAGUUGAGCAAUUUCAAUUCGAUUUAGUUUUCGAAGAAGGAAAAGUGGUAAUUUUACUGAGUUUGAAUAUGGUAGUACAAUCGUGUUUAGUCCUUGGGAUGGUCCCUACAAUGUGGGUCCUCCAGCUACUGUCUAUCUCAAGAAGAGGGACAGACAAGUCUGGAGAAUCUCUUUCCUUUUUCCUAAUGCAGUGACAUGUUUCUCACUUUCUCCUGAUACUAAAACUCCUAAGUAGCUUUAUGGUCAUGCACGAAUGAUGGCUGGCGACCGACUUUCUCAGUUUCCCUAGUCCCUCCCCCGUCUGUGUCUCUGUCACUCUCCUCGCAUAUCGGAUCUGCGGAAGUCAGCUCCAUUACCAGCCACAUAACCUCUCCUUCGUCUGUCCCAAUAUAACCACUUUUUCCCCUCCUCUACUCCAACCCCAAAAAAAAAAAAGCCAUUUUACCCAAUGCAAGCAAACAAUAAUAAUAUGUUCACCCAAAUUCAAAAAAAAAAAGAAAAAUAUACUAUAUUUGACAUGCAAGUCUAACACUAAAUACUUGUGUCAUGAAUGCAUCUUUUUUUUUAAUGUCCCAACGAUAAUUUGAUUACAUUGAUAUCAAAAGCUGCACAAUUGUGAGACUUCGAAUCGAAAGUUUCGACCUGACUAUACAAUGUACAGUGUCAUGAAUAUAUCUGUUAUUUAGAGUUUCUUGAUUGCGAGUUUUUCAAAAAAUCUAAUUACAUAUUUUGCCUUGCAUAAAUCACAUUGCGCGACUACCAAAUAGAUAAAUGAGGAGCGACGGUUUAGUGGUUCAUCAUAAUUUACAUUUAGUUGGAAAGACUGUUAAGCUUGCUGUUUAAUACUCCCUCCGUCCCGUUUUGUUAGUCUUGGUUUUUUUUUCACACAGAUUAAGAAAGUGUAAUUAAUUUGGUUGGAAACAUAAAUUUAGAUUAAUAAUUUUUUAAAAUACCCUUAUGCUAAUCACGAAGAGUGCCAAUUAAUAUCAGUUACAGCUAAUGUGUUAGUAUUGUAAAAACUCAAUGUAUUUAAUGUAGUGGGUUAGUAUUUAAUAACAAUAUAUUAAUAACAAGAUAUUUAAUAAGGAUAUUUUAGACAAUUUGAAAGAUUACUACAUUUUUUAAUGGAAAAGUGGACUACAAUUUGGGACAGACGAAAAAGGAAAACAAAACUAUCAAAGUGGGACGGAGGGAGUAGUUAAUGAAAUGACCAAUUAUAAAAAAUCAAGCUACGAUUUGCAAAUGUGGCAAGUCCAUAAAAAGAAUUUGCCUCAUAUUAUACUAGCAUAUGUUAUUCAGAAAAGGCUGAAAAUUUUGUCGUUUAGUAAUUAAUCAAAUUAGAAAGGUUAGUAGCCGAAUAAUGAAAGCUUUACAGUUCAUUUUGCAACAAAAGAAUGCGUUACUGCUAAUUUACUGUCGUCUUUGCAGUUGUUGGUAGUGUGUGUGCUGUGUGUAAAAACCAUGGCCAUUUAGCCAAUGGGGCCAUCUUUCUUUGGCUGCCGUUAGUGAUAAGCACGCCUGGCAACUCAUCAUUCCCUCCAACACCCCUUCCCUUCCCCUCCCCACUUUCUUUUCUCUCUCUCUUUCUUUUUUGUUUUCUUACCUCACACUCUCUCUCUCUCUCUAUAUUUCAUUAGUACACAGUACAUUUCUCUCUUUUCCUUUUCUUUCUCCUUUCUCUCUCUUCUUCGAAAAACCUAGCUGUCUUUCUCGGACGCUUUUUGGCGAACCAGCUGUUUCCUUAAUUCCAGCUUAAUUUCCUCAUUAGAUUGGAUCUGUUGAUUCUUAUUCCCUCAGCUGCGCAAUUAAUUCGUUCCGAGGUAAUUUUUGAAGCAUUUUUUAUGAUCUCUUGUUGAAUUAUCGAUAUUUUUGAGUUGUUUUGAUUCGUUUUAUGGUGAAUUGUGUGUGCUGAUCCGUGGGAAAUAGUUGUGUGUUGUUAUUUUAUUGUUUUGGAUGCUUUGGGGAUUGAAAUGAGGAUCGUGUUUUUUGCGUUUUUCGACGAGGGAAUGCCAAAUUUUUUGUCUGUAAUACGUGUAGAUACUGCAUCCUUGCUUUCAUUUUUUUAAAGCAGAAUUUUCGAAUUUUGAGAUGAUACGGCAUUUGAAGAGUUUUUAAAUUAUUUAUCUUGCUGAGUGGAUCCGUUGUCAGUAUUUGAGUUACAUGAUACUAAUUGCACUUGUCUCACCUCGCCAUUGCUCUUUUAUGCUGCGAAAUUGUAUCAACUAUCCGAAUCAUUCGUCCCCUUUUUUUUUUCCAACCGAUAACAGAUUUCCACUAAAACCAUUCGUCCUUUAAGUUUCAAUUUUUUUCAUCCUUUUUUGGUGAUGAUUUGUGAUGAAAUCAUACUGAGUUUUUACUUUGAAAGUUUUGACAAUGCGGCAAAAUGCAAUCUUUCUUUUGAGGUUGUGUGUGCACCAUGAGUCAGCUCAAUCGAAUCCGGUAGAACUGCAGAUGUUCGUUAUGGGCAGAUAUCUAUUUCUAUAUAUUCUACAUUUCUAAAUGCAUGAUGAUGAUGUCUGGUUCGGGUGAAUGAGAAGCAGACCAUGGAGCAUAUGAUAUCCGGGUAUCAGAAUGGUAAAUGGAAGCCUUAGUGGCUUUGCCUGUCUGGAAAACUUAUUCAAACUGAGCACUCUGAUUUUAGCUCUUGAAUGUAUGAUGCUUCGGUUUCCUUGCUUAGGGUUUCUAUUAAACUCAAAAUGCAGAGACUGUUAGCAUACGUGUGAAAAACUGUUAGCUCAUACGACGAUUUCUGAUGCAAAAUUGUGUUUCUGCUCUCUCAAAGAGGGUGAAUGCACAGAUUUUGAUGGUUCUACCUUUGUUCCUUGUUCCAGUGAACGACAUAACUCCAAUGCGGAUCAAAAUUUUGAAAUAUGCAGCUAAUUAUUUCGAUGUUUGGCUAUCACAGGCUAGUCUGUAACAUUGGCUUCUAAAUUAGUCAACUACUCAUCUUGCAAGCUAUAUUUGUGUGACACUCAAAAGAAUUAUGUUGGUCGGGAUAGCCUACUUUUUGGAUCCAAUUUACUUACGUUUGCACUAGUUUUGUGACAGCUUAUUUCUCACUUACAAGUUGUAUGAAUUUUCAGCUUCCUUUGCUUCAACUUUCAGGCCAAGUUUCUGAUUCGUGCCAACAAAACUGUAAACAAUAUGUCUGUUUCAAUGAGAGACUUGGAUCCAGCAUUUCAAGGAGCUGGGCAGAGGCGUAUCCUAAAUUUAGUGGUUUUUGUAACUUCUGCUGCUGCUAUUGUUCUCCUACUUUGAUAUCAUUGCAUUUCUGUUAGUCAGGCUUUUCUUGCAAACUUACAUUUGUCAUGUGGCUUCUAGUAAACUAAAAUGGAAUAUAGUCGUAUUUGUGAGGAUAACAGUUACAAUUCAGAUAUUUAGAAUUUAAUGUAUCUCCAUUAGCUCAAUUUCUUGUGGAAUUCAAUUGAUGCUCCUUGACUGCAUACAGUGGGAUUGAGAUAUGGCGAAUUGAGAAUUUUCGUCCAGUGACCAUUUCUAAGUCUUCAUAUGGCAAAUUUUUCACUGGAGACUCGUAUGUGAUUUUGAAGGUAAGUGAGUAAGGAGUAUCUUACUCUUAAGAAAGUGAUCAUACUUGGAAGUUUUCUAAUUACAUGUCAAGUGUUGGACAACAUGCACUUUAGGUUUGAAGUCUUUGACUACCACUGGUAUGAUAACAGGGACCCGGUAAACAUAAUGUAAAUAAAUGCAACUGCAGAUUUCACUUCUGUAGUUUGUAUUGUGGGUAUACCUAGACAUCUAGUUUUGCCAUCUUUUGCGCUCUCUUUAUCCAAGAAUUUGUGUACUGUUUGUGGUUCUAUUUACAGUUAUACUUCACAAAUAUUCUGAUCAGCUUCCUUAAUAAGAUGAAUCUAGUUACCCAUGGUCUUUGGAAGCUUCAGUGGUUGAUAUACCUACUAGCUGCACAAUUAAUCUAUGCGUUAUGCUUUUCUUGUAUCAAGAGAUGUCAAUUUCUGUGUACUGCAUUAUGAAUAUUUGCCACUUCUCGCAGCAAUUGAACUUUUAAUUUCUGUUUGCAGACUACUGCACUGAAAAAUGGUGCUCUGCGACAUGAUAUUCAUUAUUGGCUGGGUAAAGAUACUUCUAAGGUCUUUUUGUUGUUUUGAAGAUAUGUCCUAGUAAGCCAACUUCAUGGUUGCAGUUGAGUUGUUGAUGUUCUGUUAUAUACAGGAUGAAGCUGGCACUGCAGCCAUUAAAACUGUGGAACUUGAUGCAGCUCUUGGUGGACGUGCUGUUCAAUAUCGUGAAGUACAAGGUCAUGAAACAGAAAAGUUCCUUUCUUAUUUUAAACCAUGUAUUAUUCCUCAAGAAGGUGGAGUAGCAUCAGGUUUCAAGCAUGCAGAGGCUGAAGAGCACAAGACCCGAUUGUUUGUAUGUAAAGGAAAGCAUGUUGUUCAUGUAAAAGAGGCAAGUUUCUGGUCCUGGUGCUUGUCUGAUGAUGGAUCAUUAGCAAUUGUAUAGUAUAUUGGUUAUACACUUAUUGACCCUUUCUUGGUGGUACAGGUUCCUUUUGCUCGCUCAUCCUUGAAUCAUGAUGACAUCUUUGUUCUCGACACCAAUUCUAAAAUUUUUCAGUUCAAUGGUUCCAACUCAUCUAUCCAAGAAAGAGCAAAAGCUCUAGAAGUUGUCCAAUACAUUAAAGAUACUUACCAUGACGGAAAAUGUGAGGUUGCCGCAAUUGGUGAGUGGAUUAUUAAAUGGAAACUUGUUGCUAGGCUGCCUUAAUCACCAAUGCAUUUAAGAUCUGUUCUGUUUUUACUGUAUAGAGGAUGGCAAAUUAAUGGCUGAUGCUGAGACUGGAGAGUUUUGGGGUUUCUUGGUGGCUUUGCUCCCCUUCCAAGGAAAACCACCACCGAGGAGGCUAAAAGUACUGAUGACAAUUCUACUAGAUUGUUUCGGUAAUACAUUCCAGCCAUAGACACAUUGUUGUGCAUCCAAUACUUGUUUAACACAUUACAUGGUGGCAAAGUCGUUAACAAACUUCUCAUGGAUUUUUGGAAAUUGUAAGAGCUGUAUAUCUCUUAAAUCACAAAUUUUUGUUGGCUUUUGUUGGAGAAUAGUGCACAUGACUUCAUUCUCUGAAGUAAAAGAAGUUCAGGAUCAGAAUCCAAAUAAAAAUGUUGUUGCAAGAGAACUAAUUGCAUCAUAUAUGGUUUUUUGGUGAUAAAUUGUCUAUCCUGUUCUUUAAGCAUCUCUAGAGAUUACAAGUUUAUCAUUGCUAUUAGGGUUGAGAAGGGACAGGCGGAACCUAUUGAGGCUGAUUCUUUGACGAGGGAACUUUUGGAUACUAAUAGAUGCUAUAUUCUUGACUGUGGGACAGAGGUUUUCCUCUGGAUGGGCAGAGCUACUUCUCUUGAUGAAAAAAAGUGCAAGCGGAGCUGCUGAUGUAAUAGUUUGUGCUGCUAUAAACUUGUAUCUGCAUUAUGUUUACAGCUUUAUUCCCUAUUCUUAUUUUGUUUUACUCUCACCCUCAUUCUUAUAGGAGUUAGUGCGUAGCCUUGAUAAAGGAAAAUGUCACAUAGUACGUGUAAUUGAGGGUUUGAGACUGUAAUUUUCCGGUCGAAGUUUGAUUCGUGGCCGCAGUCAACUAGUGUAGCUGUAUCUGAGGAUGGAAGGGCAAGGUUGCUGGUUAGUAACUGAUAUUGUAUUUUCAAGCAAAUCUAUGCUGUAUUUCCUGCCUUUUAAGUUUAUGUUGUAGGUCUGUUCUUGCUUAGAAUUAGCUGGUUACAGUUCUUUUUAUGUUUUAAUUUUUAAUUUUAAUUUUAAUUUUUUUUAAGCUAAAAGAAGCUUUGAGGUGGUGGUGUUUUCGUUGACUCUAUUUCUAUCUUAACUUGAGUUGAAAUAGUUCAUUUGGAGAACAAUCCUAGGCUGCUUUUGAAGACAAUACUCUUUUUCUUUUUUCAAUCUUUUGACAAGCAACUACUUUCAACUUUUGAAACAGCAUUUUCAAGAAUCCCUUUCCUUUGAGUAGCUCUCAAAUAGGUGAAGCAAAACUCUACUGGCUCAAUUAUUCUUGUAUUGAGAUUUCUGUGUUUAUUAGAUCAUCUAACCUUCUUUUGAACGAGAAUUUUGAUUGUUGUACUGCAUGAUGAUUACAUAGCACUUUUAAAGCGCCAAGGGUUAAUGUGAAGGGCUUGUUGAAAGCUACACCUCCAAAGGAAGAGCCCCAGCCCUACAUAGACUGCACGGGCAAUCUGCAGGUGCUUUUGAGAUAUCUGUCUGUAUAGAUCAAUUAAAUGGCAUGUACUGUUGCACUAUUUUCUCCUUUCUGUUUUCUGAUGAACUUUAUUAAAAGAAUGAUGAAAAAAUGCAACAAUUCCUGACAUAAAACUGUUCAGUUUCUAGUCACUUUCUGUACAUUAGAUAUGCAUGUUUCAUUUUAUGUUUUAUUUCCACUUACUCUUAAGAGUGAAAAUUUUUCUCUAAACAACCUGUUUGGUUAUAAUUAAAUUUUCUCUGAUUUGUAACAUAAAAAUUGGAUCAACCAACUUUUUAGAGUUGUUCUCAUGUUUGGUCGGCCAUUUAUUAAUCCAGAAAUAAUUCAUUGUACCUAAUAGUUGAUUUAGUGGUACAAAAGCAUGAGUUUAAUAUUUGUAGUGCCAAAUUAAAGAAAACAAUCCAAAAAAGGUGAUAUUGAAGAAUUUUUUGCUAAAGUUCAUCACAUCAUUGCUGUCAUCCCAUGUACUACAUUUUUCAUUUACCUUUUUCCCCCCUUUGAAUCUUGUGGUUGGCAUAAUAAAAUAUAUGUUAUAAAGUUUAAUCUUUACCUGAUCAAGUUUUGUUUAUGAAACUCAAUUACUUAACUUUAUUGAUAUGAUUGUAAUAAUUUGUCAAUGAAGAGUGUUUCCUUUUAAACUCUUUUCUGCUCUUGUUCAUGAGGACCUUAGUCUAACAAGGGACAAAUGAAUCCCUAAAACCACCCCUCUAUGAACUUAUGUAUCCAUUUUCUUGAUUUACAGCAGGGGAUGAUCCAUUGUGUCUGUGCAGGUUUGGCAUGUGAAUGGUCAAGAAAAGACUCUUCUUCCAUCAUCAGAUCAGUCCAAAUUUUACAGUGGAGACUGUUACAUCUUUCAGUAUUCAUAUGCCGGGGAAGACAAAGAAGAAUACCUCAUAGGGACAUGGUUUGGGAAGCAAAGUGUUGAGGUGAAAUAUUUAGUCUCUUUGCAUGCUUUGGCUACGUUGCGUGCCUUUUCUAAUGCCUGUCUAAAAAUUGCUGAAUCCCUGUUAUAAACAACCAUGAAAUGCUUUCAGUUAAUAUUAAUCUGCAUUUAGAUUGUAUAGAAAAGCUCGUUUCCCUUUUUCCUUUUUGUGCAAUACUAGUUUUUUUCAGGUAUUUUAUUUUGGAUAAUUAUCAUCUUUUAGUCUUUGAAGUUUAGAUAACAUCUGUCAUUUUGGAGGCUAGGUUCAUCUGAAAUUGCCCACUUUAUAGAGGCUUAAGUGGCUGGUAGUCUUAUUGACACCAGUAGCAAAUGCAGCAAUAGCGUAUUUCUCAUUUAUUGAUUCUGCUUUACAUGCAAUUCAGGAAGAUAGGGUCUCAGCAGCUUCACAGGCAAGCAAGAUGGUUGAAUCGCUUAAGUUCUUAGCUACUCAGGUACUCCUAUUGCUUUAACUGCCACUUUCAAACUGAAGGUGUGCUUCACCUGGUGUUUAUUGACACUCUGUUCAUUGUGAAACUUAGGCUCGCAUCUAUGAAGGAAGUGAACCUAUCCAAUUUUUUGCAAUCUUUCAGAGCUUUAUUGUUUUCAAGGUGUGGAGAAAAAAAUCCUGCAUAAUCUGUAUAAACUUUUCUUCUUUAUCAAGCCAAGAUGGAAAGUUAUUUUACUACAUAGUCUAACUGUUGGAUAUCAACAAUCUAUUUCCUGUAAACAUCACCAGGGUGGUCUUAGUGAAGGGUACAAGAAAUACAUAGCAGAAAAGCAACUUCAGGAUGACACGUACACAGAAGAUGGACUGGCAUUAUUCCGAGUUCAGGGUACUGGACCUGAGAAUAUGCAAGCUAUUCAAGUUGAACCUGUAAGUUACACCACUUUUGUUUGCUUCCUUCCCUCUUUCAAAUCAACUAUAUUGGUCUAUAAUCCUUCAAUUUUGCUGUUCAUACACUUGAUGUUGUUUCUCAGUAUUGAUUAUCUUCUUCCUCUUUCUUAGUUGAUGGAUAUGGUUUAUACUUCUGUGCCAAAGGGUUUGAGAAGUGCAUCAGACUUAUUUUAAGUAGCCAAUUAUUUAUAAGAGUCUCAACCAUAAAUUGUUGCGAUGUUAUGCCGUUUUUAUUUUAUUUUUUGUAGUCAUGUUUUAAUUUGAUUUCUUAAGUUAGUCAAUUUCUCCUGGGCUGUCUCCAUAUUUGUUAUGUUAAAUAGUUUACUUCUGUUAGGCUUGAGAUACAUCUUAGAACUGGCCCAUCUUUACGAAGUUUUCAAUUGGAGGCAUCCAUAAGAUUAAGCUUACACAAUCUUUAUCAGGCAAGUUUGUGGCUGACCAAGCUGAUCUAAGGCUUCAAGUUUAUCAGUAUAUUCUAAAUUACUUGCUUCUUGUCAAGCUAAUAGAAAUUAGUCGCAAAAGCCUAUGGAUAAAUACAAGAAUAUUGUAUGGAUAUAACUGGAACUGGACUCAACUCAUACAAGAAUAUAUGUAUGUACUCGAUAAUGGUACAUCAAAAGCCACGUCACAAAUAACAAUUGACUAUUGGUUUACUACGCACCUCACAGUCGCAUGUUACCUGGGGCAAGUUUCGCACUCAGCCAGAAUGUCGAGAGUAAUUAAAUUAGCUCUCAGUUUGUUAACUUUAGAACAUAAGAAUUAAGAUUGAUACUCACUUUUUGAGGUCCAACGCCCUUUUUCUUGAUUUGGCUAUUGUUGAAAGAUCGAUUCCAACCAAUAAAAUUGGACGAAUUCUAUGACAACCAGCUUAGAUAGUUCAGGUUUGAACCCACAAGUUAGAGAGUCUGGAUUGACUACAACAAAAUGAUAUGUAGUCUAUCUUAGUACACUUGGUUUUUCUUCUUUGUGAUGGGAAAACAAGUGGUGGAAAUUGGUUGGUUUGAGGCGGCGGUCGAAGGCUUUUUGUUUCUUUACUUAACAGGAACAAAUUUGACAGCAAAUUAGAUGUGAAGGUGAUCAUGAUUUGACUAUGGAUUGAUGCUAAGUAAUGUUAAAGUAGGGUGCAUAGUUUGGGACCAGUCGCAUGUGGUCGCUGAAAGUAUUAAAAUACUUGUUCCUAAUUAACUACUUUCAUUAAUCAUGAUUUGAUUUGUGUGGAACGUAUCUUUAUUAUUUCCUUUUCAUGAUGAGCUGAAUCCCUCACUGUUAGCUAGUUUUCUUGAACAUAAAUGUUGAAGGCUGUAAAAAAUGUAGUGCCCUUUUGGUUCAAGAGAGACUCUAAAGUUUAGAGGAGAAAGAAAGAAAGAUAAGAAGUUGACCAUCCAAUUAGAAAUCUUAUGGUCACCGGUCUAAGGUUUCUUCCAAAUAUUAUUUCGCUUGCAUCAUAAACACAUCAUAAAAAUUUAUAUUUAUUGCACUGUUUGCAUUUAUACAUUUUUGUAACUUAAUUUCCCUCUAGAAAACUAACAUUUAAAAAUUAAACUCUAGCGAUUGCCCAUAGAACACUGGUUUGACAAGCCUAGUAAUUGGAUAGCUACAAAUCACAAUGUCUAAUUCUUGAGCGGUCACUUAGGCAACAAACAACAUUUCAUUAAAUUUGCUUAAUGGCAGAAAUUACAUGAAUCAUACACACAGAGACAAACAAAUUCGAAGAACAAACAUUAGAUACCAUAGAUUUGAAAAAUCUAUACAAUAUUAUAUUGUGAAACUCCAAAAAUAUCAAAAGAUAAAACACGUAUAGCACCAAGAUCAUCUGCGUGUGCUCCCAGCCAUAUUACUUGCUUGCUCUCACAUCUACUAAUAAACUGAUUGAAACCCAGACAUUAAGGUGAGAUCCAACGAAAUAGAUUUAUGGAAUCUCAAAUUUAAUAAUUAAAUCUAAAAAAAAUUAGACCCAAAAUGAACUACAAAAAUUCUUACUAAGAUUCUUUAAGAGAGGAUAAAACUGUCAUUCAGAAUUCCUAAAAGAGACAUGGGAGUAAGGGAGGAGAGGGACCAAAGGACCAGAGCAGAUGAAUUGGUCUCCCUCCCUUGGAGGGGGAAGGUAUUUAGUUUGCAAGGGAAAGAAAUAUUAAAGAGAACAAAGAGAGUUCAGGUAAUUAUCAGAAGUUGGGCGUUAGGUUAUUAGUUCCCUGGGUGGCCUUAAGAGUUUGCCGGCUUUUGAGGUUUACCUGCGGAUUAAAGGUUAGUGAUUUAAUUCUGAUUUCUUCGUUGAAAGAAAAAGAAAAUAUGGAGAGUUUCUAAAUGUCAUGGAGUUAGUACACCUUUAGUAGCAGCGGUCUUACUGGCCUUUCCAAAAAUCUCACAUCGAUCAUUGGGGGGGGGGGGUUUGGGGUUAGUUAUUAGUUCCCUUAGGUGCCUCAAGACGUUGCCGCCUUUGAUGUUUAUCUGGGAAUUAAAAGUUUAGUAUUUAAUUUUGAUUUCUCGUUGAAAAAAAAAAUUAUCAGAAGUUGCUGCAUGGUAAGUAUCAUGAAUAUAGUCGCGUAAAGUAAGACGCUUUCCUGAUAACAAUUAGUAGCAGUCUUCCCUUAAAUUCCGUACGGGAAAGAAUGUAUGCAACCUAGAUUAAUGCUGCUGCAAUUUGGAAUUGCCCUAGGGAAUGUUCCGUCCUUUUUGUCAAUCUUUUGAAUUGUUUCCAACAGUUUAAUGUUAUCCAGACAAUACUAUUGGAUUAAUGCUAUUGCAAUUUCGAAAUCUCUUUUCCGCAUUCAAAUUUACCAUUAUGCUCUUAAAAGUUCAUUCAACCUUAGCUCAAUAAAUAAAUAAAAUAGAGUUGCACACAAUUACAAUCUCGUUAAAAAAACAAACACUAUAUAUGUUUAACAGAUUUACACUCUCAUAGGGUAUACAGCUACAAUAUUUCAGGAAAAGAAAACACAAAGAAGCGUGUGUAAACUAGUCAGCAAUCAACCUUUUUUAUGUUACUUCUGCAGACAAUACGAUUGGUAAACGGAAUUGAAGAACCUAAUGCUUCUAUAGGCGUCUGAUGGCGCCGUCUUCCACAUGAGAUGUGAUGUCGAUGGUUCCAUGGGGCCAAUCUAUAACUUUUGCAAAGUCGCGACCAACAAGAACAUAAAGGUUCAGUGAACAGGACAUGAAUCUUGCUCUUUUUUUCUCAGCCACAUAUGUUAAGUUGAUGUUUAAAUCAACCUACCCUUUUUCUCGGUUGAAUGUUGCAGUCACCUAAUUACUCAUGGAUGGCAUUUCUUGAUGAUGCUUCGCGAGUCAAGAUAAGAAGGCGCGCCACUACAACAGGGAGAGGAGAUGUCAAUUUUGGCCUCUUCAACCAUCAUGUUCCGCUUUCACAUCAUCUUUUUAACACUUAUCUUGUGGUCAAUACAGUUGUAUCAAAUGCAUAAUCUUGUUCAAGAGAAAUUUCUGUUCUUUUUGCUCUUCAUGAGAUGAGAAAAUAAUUGACGUUUUAUAGGCGUUUCAAGAGGUCUUGGACUUUUCCCCAACCCCAUCUCUCCUGAGUGAAUAGUGCCAGUUGAAAAUUCUGAAAAUCCCUUUCAGGUGAUGAUGGAUCGAUCGUUUGCAUCAAUUAGCCGACACAGAAAAUUCAGAGACUUUUAAUAGAGAUGUUGCUCGCUGCUCAGUCAACUGUUGACAUAAAUUUUGGGGGGUGUGGAUGUGAAUCAACGUGUCUAAACAAUCACGGAGAAAAAACUAAAAAAAUACUAAGGUGUCUUAUGUCGGUGGGGUUACAAUUUUUCUAAAUUUUUUGUGUUUGCCUAGAAAUAUACAAUUUACUAGUGCUUUAAACCAAAAAAGAAAAAAGCUCUUGAUAGUGGUAGGAUUUAGAUGCGAAACACACAACUAUUGAAAUAUUAAAAAAAACAAUUUAAUGAAAUUAAGUCAAAAAGGGAAACAAAAGUCACAAGUAUGAAAAAUAAAAGACAACCGAUACCAGAAUAUGCAUUGUUCAAGUGAAUUGGUGGUGAUUUUUAAUUCAACAAUUUAAUCGGUGAAGAUAUCCUUGUUAAAGAAGAAGGCUUAAUUAGAGGAAACAUUGAAGGGAAAGAAUAGGAAAACAGCAAUUUAUGUAAUAUUAGUUCCCUGGGUCUCUGUAAUUGUUUUUUUUUUUUUAAUCUUUUUAACAGGACUCUACAUGGAAAACAAAAAGACACAACUUAGAUUUCGAAGGAAACUACCAUACUUAAAACAAGAGGGAUCUGAUGAGAAUUGUCAUACAGAGUAGAGAAUUUUUGUUUUUUGUUUUUUUUGUGAUUCGGAACAUAUCUCGACUUGAGCCAUUUAGGAUUCGAGCCGACACACCAAACCGGGGGAUAUGUCCUGACUCCUCACGAUACACUCAGGUUAGACAGGAGGUUCAACUCUAAAAAAAAAAGAUUCGAACCCAUAUCUCAUUCAAUCCAAGAGCCCAAUUUAUCGCUAGACUAUCCUUUAAGAGAUACGUGGUAGAGAAUCAUUGGCAAUGGCAACUUCUUUUUUCAUAGACAGUAGCCAGCGAUUUUUUUUCCCCCUUAAUGAGGAAAAUGUUAAUCUGGUAUUUGUUUUAUCCUCUAGAUGAGAAUUAAGAACAUUUCAGAAGGAAUCAAGAUGAGCACUCCGGAACUUCAUUCGAUUGUCAAGGUGUAGCAGUGAAGUCGGGAAAGAUAAUGACCGGACAAGGCAUAAGUGAAGUCCCAUGUCAGAGCCCUUUUUAUUGAUUUUCCUUUGCUUUCCAACACAAGCACAUGAAGUUGUUGCCCUGAAAACUAUAUAUGAACAAAAGAAUGUACUACACCAUAACCUACCUGCAGGCUACUAGCAUCGCCCAGAAACAAAAAGAAGCUGGAAGAAAUAUUACAGGUGUACUCGGGCUGACAAAACGUUUCAAGAAUUCCAGUUUUUGCAUGACCCAUGAAUCUUUGAGCUCAGUAAUGUCUGCUUUUGUUUUUAUUAGAUCAUGUUAGCUUGUUUCCAACUUCCAUUUUCUCCGAACAGUGACUGAUCACUAGAUUUUGCUACAUCUGGAGAAACCCGAAGUGAUCGAAAUUACUGCAAGUAGUAACAAGAAGAGUUUUCUUGGAUGUUUCUGCUUUUAUGGGACUUAAUUAUUCCGUCUGAUAAUAUGACUCUUCAAUAGUUUCUCUUCGCAAUCAGCCAUUUUCAGCCUGAUUCGAGAAAAUAGUUGGACUUUCAUCUCUAGUUCUUGUAAUGUGUAGUGACAUUUGGAGCUGAUAGUGCCCAAGCCAUGAUCAUGUUAUAUAUUCACUUAGUCCGGGUGAAAGGCUGUGUAGAGUCUUAUCCCAAAAAUACACAGCGAGAUAGCAUAUAAAAGUUAAUUAUGAAACAUGCUGAUAACUAUCAGGUUACGGAACCAGUUGGACUACCCGUGAAGCAUGUUAUCUAUUACAGUUUCCUUCUGUUUAUUUACUUGCUUUUUUUUUUAUUAUUUUGACAAGCUUAGUUCCGAAAAGAAUUGUUCAGACUUCAGUGCCUACUUUUUUAUAUUUGCAAGGAACUCUUCUAUAGGUGCAAACUUUUUAAACAUUAAAGAUCCCAUUUUGGGAAACAUGAGGGGACAGUUCAAAACCCGGUGGUAUCCAAAUUCUUUUCAUGUGCAGGAAUGGAUAUCAGGACCUGCAGAAAAGCCAAAAAAGACAAAUCACUUAAUGUAGUACUACCAGAGAAGGCCCCAUUUUAAAAAAAGAUUAAAUGUUCCAUAGAAUUAAUUAAUUUUUUGUGAAUUAGAGUAAACCAAAAUGCUAAUGAAAAAAAUUUGGAGGAAAUUCUGCCCUCUAAUUAGUUCUUUUUUUUUUUUUUUCCAAACAAAAGGGGCCAUGGGGUUGUUGAUGGAUUACCACAACUUGGCGGUAGUCUAAUCCUCAAGGUUAAAUGACCCGAGGCGGACCUAAUUGUCCCGGAAUUUAAAGCAAGGUACCGUCUAAAUUUCAAAUCUGAAAAAUAAUUCAGAUUUGAUUUCUUGUGGGCCGUUUGGAUGUUGAAGCUGUUGGACAACGUUUAUCGGCCAUUUAGAGUUUUUCUAAUUGCAUUUUAACUUGAGUUUGGCUUCCUGUUAAAGUUCACAUAAAAUCCAAUUGAUUUUGGGCUCGUCAGCACUUGUUUUGCAACCUUGAACUAAAUUAAGGUUGCAUCAUUGUGACUUUUAAAGUGAGACUUUUAAGACGGACUUCUUCUUCCAAAAAAAUAAUAAUAAAAAGACGGAUAGAUAUAUUAAUUCGACUCUCAAUCUUUCUCAUUCUUUUUUUUUUUCCUUAUAAAAUCUGAAAAUUUUUAAGCAAAAAAUUCUAUUUUGUGUGACUCAUUAUCCAAGUUUCUCACUUUCCCCUUCCCUUAUUACCAUUCUUUUUGGUGUAUUUAGUUUUAAGUACAUAAUCAUUCUAACUUUUCUUGAGUUUAUUGCUUUCUCUUCAAACCCAAGGUUCUAUUCAAACACAUGAAAUCGAACUAACUUCUCCACUAAACGACCAAAAUAGGCAAAAAUUGAUCCAAUUGUAAUUGCAACCCUAUUUUUUUUUUUUUCUCACAAAAAGAUUUUACAUUGGUAACAUAUAUGGUAGCGAGAUAUAUAUUGCUCCAAUUGGUUAAUUUUUUUUUUUUUUCAAGUUUGUUGGUUGCUAUUGGGUCUUCACGCCCUGAAAGCUAGCUCAGUGGGUGGGAAGGUCCAAUAACAUCUUACACUGAUAUUAGAGUCCGAUUACGACAACACCUCCCAAUAGACACUCAAAUAAAAUGUUACUCAUCGAAUAAAAAGUUAAUAUUGUCCCAACUUAUACCCGUAUGAUGAAAAAGAUUGAUGCUAUUUCAAUCUAGAUCCCAAUGUGUGAGUAAUAGACUAUUGAAUUUAUCCUACCCCAUUGUGAAAAAGGUAGAAAUGUGAGAGAAAGGCUCACUCACUGAUUGAUUUAGUUUUUGGAGUGAGAAGAGCCAAUAGCGCUAAACAAGUUUAAUACUAGCAUUCAUUUACCUUUUGUAAGCAAUGGUAUCUUCAUCCUAACAACAACUACUUGUUAACUAUCGGUUUUGUCCUGAACUUGAAAAGACGCACUUAAAUUCUGAAGCCAUACUGUAAAUUCGAGCAUUUCAUACAAAUGGGAGUGCACAUCUAAUUUACAACUAUAAUUAUCUGAUCGUUUUACAAGAGUACGAAUCAUCUCACAGGAUUUGGACGUAGGAGUACUUUAAUUCAGAAUCCCAACCCUGACAAUGUAAUUCACAGGAUACAAAAUGUGACUACAGAAGUGUAUGGAUUUCUUUUCUUGUCUAGAUAUCACCCAAUCUUUGAACAUCUGAGGUUAAAAUGAGAGAUUGAAAGUCAAGGAAUUAGGGACUAAUUAAUAAAGGAAUUCUGAGAGGAUAAUACAAUGAUGCAACUCUUUCUUUUUCUCUUGGCUGGCCUAAUGAAAUAAAUUUUCUUCUUGUGUCUAUUGUUUUGUGUAGUGUAGAUCAAAAUUGCUAAAAAAAAAAAGAAGUUGAGUGAUUCUUUUGCCUCUUUCUAAACACGAUAUCUUCUUUAACAUUUUCUUAUUUUUAAAUCAUUCUUGCACAGAAAAAAUAAGCAUCAUGCCAUGGUUUUAAUCUUAUACAAAACCCACCAACGAGGCAAUUGCCCUGUAGUCCUCCUCGGAAAACAGUUCAACAUGAAUCUCUGCCGCAUUUACAAGACACGCUGAAUCAGAAAUUCCAUGUAAUCUUCCUCAGGCGUAUAGGCCAAAAUGAACUGGAACAUUAUCAACUUUCAACCAUCCUUCUCCUUGAAUAAAGGGACCUACUGUAUAUUUCAAGGCCUCAUCUCUCUUGAUAGGCCCUUUGUAACCAGGCCAUUUCACUCUUGCAGAAGUUUGAGCUCCAGGGCCUUUGUUAUUAUACUCUGCAUAAUACAAUGUAUUGAGCGCGAAGUUUCCCUGCCAAGGCAUAUAUCCAUAACCAUGAAUGAAAUCCCCAAUUUCAGUUUCCAUUAUAAUGGUCCGGGAAUACUCUUUCCAGGGCCUGCCUAGAUAGCUCUUGAAUUGGCUUUUAACAGGACUGAGUGAAGCGUCUGCAAGAAUCCGACAACCUUGUAAAACUAUGCCUGUAGUUUCACGUUUGUCUACCCUUCCUUGAGCCGUCACGAUGUUUUGUUGGUUGUCCAUGGGCUUUCUGACAUAGAUCAUGCAAUUCUGGAAUACAGCAGCAGCAUCACCAAAAAUGAAGUCAACUGUGCCUGUUAUGUAGCAGCUUCGAUAGUAUUGCCUGUGGGUUUGUGCAUAUAAUGUGUCUUGGUACCCCUCCAUACGACAAUUGACAAAAAUUGCGCGAUCGGACUGAACUCUUAGGGCCACUGCUUGAUGUUUUUCAGGACCUGCAGUGUUUCUGAAACCUAUUGAUUGUGCCAUAAAUCCGUCUCCUAAUGCCGCUGCAAUCAACAGACAGUAUCAGAAUUAGAUAGAUUCACCAUGAAAAUAUCAAGAAGAAUGUCCUUUAUAUAUAUAUAUAUAUAUAGCUUGAGGUUGUAACGCUAGCAGAUAUGAUGAUAGUUCCAAUUUGUUAGCACCGGCGAAGUGCGUCUUUUAUUUAUUUUCAGUAAAGGGAAAAGGCAGGUUAGGUUUGAAUGCUGUUUCCUUCAUGACUAUAUGGAUUGGUAGGCUAAGACAGGCUGAUUAUAUUUUUCGAGUUGUGUAAAUUCGAAAGGUAAGUGAAGUUAUCCCACAAGUCUCCUUAGGAAUAUCAGAAGACCCUGGCAUAUCACUUUAUGGUAAAAAUUCCUAUUUCACUAUUUUCCUCUUUCAGCAAGAAUUUUUUCAUUAGAGACGUACAAAAGGUUGCGGUUAGGAAGGUCGGUACUCCAUCAACAUAGUUUUUGCUCCCGGUGACUAUACUCUUUUGUGAUCCAUCACCGUAUAUUGUAACAUUGACCAUUUUCUUUGUCACGGUGACCGUCUCUUCAUAAACUCCUGCCUUAACAUAUAUCACGUAUCUGCAUUGCCAUGAAUUUGAAAAAGCCCGUUAGUAGUUAGCAUGCAAAUUGUGGUCUCGGCAGAUACGCUGUGCCCUGCUUAUGAUAAAUUCAUAAUCAGCCACAAACAAGCUUAAUCCAUGGGAGAAAACUGAGAAGCGAUUGUCAUAUGCAUACCUUCCUGUAUAAUUUGAUGGUAUUGCUGCUAAAGCUGCAUUAAUGGUGGUGUAAUUUCCGCUUCCAUCUUUAGCGACGGUAGCAUUUGGAUGCUGGAAUGUUGUGUUGUCCUUCAAAAUCCUUCGCCUCUCUUGAUCAUUCAACCACCUUGGAAGCCCCUCCUCGUCCAGGGAAGGGAUGCCCGAUCCUUUUGUCAAAAGACGUCGUUUGAUGCUGGUUCCAUGAAAUGAAGCCAGUUGAGAGAGGGAAACCAUGGCAAGGGAAUUGCUCGUAAGUUCCUUGGAGCUUUUCAAGGUACUCUCCAGCUGACUCUUUAUAGUUCCAUUUGGGUAUCCAUCAAUGCAUGAUUGUUGGUAGGACAUAACAGCACUCAACCAAUUGUUCAGAUCGCCAGCAUUUGAUGUCUUGUCAUCUAUGCUGGAAAUGGAACUGUUCAAUUCUUCUUUGGCAUCACCAAGUAGUGUCAUGCAAAAAUCAAAAGCUAUCUUAGUCUUUGGAUCGUCGAAAUGGACAGAACUUCCUAUCUUCAUAGCCAGAUCAAUCCCACGAGAAAUCGCGGUCAUCGAAGCCUUUAAAAGAUCCUUUGGCUGCAGGGCUGAUGCAUUGGCCUUGACUGCCUUGAAUAGGUUGUCCUCGCAUGUUUGCUUGUAAUCUGUGGAGGCACAUAUUGUUUUUACAGCUUUCUGGGCUGGAGAUUGAGCUGGUUGCGUCGGGGGAUGAUGUGCCGGAUGAGCAUUGCCGUGGUUCUGACUAGAAUUCGGGUACAAACGAUCCUUAUAAACAACAGCACAAACAGCAGCAGCCGCUACAAGGGCUAGGACAGUCGUAGCAACAACUGCAAUUGUGAUCCUCCUUUUCAGCUUUCGUUUCCUUUCAUUUUCUCGACGUUGAGAAAUGAGAUCAAAAUCCUGAAAUGCCAUCUAUUUUUUUUUUCAAAAAAUUUUUUGGCUUAGGCAGAGAGAGAUUGCUUUGGCAGAGAUCUCUCUGCCUUGGCAAUUUAAUCCAAGGCAGAGGAUGUAAUGAUACGCUAAUGAAAUUUAAUUUCUCUGUUCUGCAAUCUUCUCUGUAUCUAUUCUUGCACUUUUCUCCAUAUAUAUUUCCUUUUGUCCUUUUAAUUGGUUGUGCAAUUUCAGUCUUAGGAUUUCCCAAAGAAGGUCUGGAAUAGAGAAAAUUUAGGACUUCUUUACUUGAUGCAUCCGUUCAUGAUAUAGACCUUCUUCAGUUGAGGCACUCGGAUAGAACCAAAACCGCAUUUCCCCCGAAUUCUCUCUUCCACCUCCUUUGUUUGUGUGGAGGCGUGAAAUUACAUUACAGUACGUGUACACACCUCAAACUGUCUGAAACACCAUUUUUUUAGGACCAUUUUUUCUAGUUUUGAGGUGAACCAAUUAAGCAGUUUGUUUCUUAAUUUUACGGGCGCUUUUAUCUUAUCUUUUCACUUUGAGGAAUAAAAAAAGGGUCAGCUAGUCCUAAUUUAUUGUGUGAUGGGUAAUUUUUUUUUUUUUUUUUAUUUAAGCCACCAUGUAAGGUCACUUUGGGGAUGAAACUUCUUAGAUUAAUUGGAUGGAUCCCUCCAUUAACUUAAGCAGGUUAAUUGCAACUAAAGCUCCAUUUUAUUUGUCUUAGUUUUAAUUAAUUUAUGAAGCCCUUAAUACAUAAAGAUAGAGAGGAUACUGUUCUUGGUUUACCUAAUCAUUUAAACAUGUAUAAUACUAAUACCAAAAUCACUAAUUAUUCUUUUGAAUUCUUAGCUAAAUAUUCAAAGUAAAAUCAAGAUUGAAAAUCACUUUGAUCUUUUGGAUUCAUUUCUUCGUAUUGGGUAAUACAGAUAAAUCAAAACCAAUAUACAGCAGUUGCUUUAUUGUGAAUAACAUGUGCUGCAUGAAAAAUGGUUAAGUAAACUAACAUAACAAAAAUCAUUCUUUUACUGCACAAUUUAUCAAAUUAUUCUUUACAAAUGAUAACAUGUGUAUGUAUGUGUAUGUGUAUAUAUGUUUGUAUGUAUGUAUACUUCGUUAUCCUCACCCCAUUUCUUCCGGUCACUGAGAGGUUCUUGUGAUUUUAAAAUAAGAGCAAUUUCAGAGCUAUUAUCCUUUGUUGAAAUUUUAGAAUGGUAUAACAAUAUAGAUUUCAAAAAUUAAGAGGCUUUCUUGGUAACAAACAUACGACUGAAGAAGACUGGGUGAUCGAUCCUUCCUUCCUUCCUUUUCUCUUCUUGGGACGAAUCGAACUUUUGAAUCCACAUGAAUCUUAUUGAAGCGAUAGGCGAGGCCAUGAAUAAAUUUUCUUGUCUUUUUUCCUUCAUUGAUUACAAAUCCUACAAUCGUCCACUAUUGAUCGGUCGAUGUGGUACUACUGAUAACUUCUGCCCAUGAAAUCCUGCUUCCUUCUGAGUUCUGUGAAUUAUAUUAUCACACUGCUGUUUGGACGGAUUCCAGCUUGUGGGACUUCCUCAACCUCAUAUGAGGGAAGAGUACAAAUUCAAAGAGAUUGAAUAAAGAACCAGACAACUAUCUUAUGACUUCCAUUUGGGAUCUAAAUCAAGAUCCCUGCACCUUUUCUUUCUUCUGAUUGAGGUACCUAUUCAAUAGAACAAAGUUAAUGGAAAGCUUUCAAAUAUCAAUAAUCAUUCAUGGUCUGCACUGUUUUCUUCUUUUAAUGUUGGCUAGCUCUGCACUGAUCUUCACUAAUUACCAAAAAAGUACUAACUAAGGCGAAAUUGUGGUCAAUACUCAAUACCCUCCCGACUUGCCGACAGAUCCAGCAAAAAAUAUCCAGCAUGGUAUUCACGAAUUUAAUUAGAUGAUAGGGAAAGUCCAGAAGGAGUGAAGAACAGCACCAUGCAUAUACCAUAAAAAGAGAAGUAUAUCAAAUCUCUUGUCCAUUUGUGGCAAACCCGUACAACAUUUUCCUGAGUUGGGCAAACUUUCGGCCAAGCAACAUCAAGUAUUAGACUAUUAGUACAUGGCUGGUAUACUUGUAAUAACUAGUAGUAAAAGAAAAAUACUCCGCCUUGUAUUACAUUUCCAUCCCAGUAUCAAAUGCCAUUAUCAUAAGGAAAAUUAGUAGAAUCCAGCCACUCAUCUCCGGUGAUGAACUCCGAAACUGCGAAGUUAGAUGCAUCAUCAUAGUUCAUUAUGUGAAAACCUGGCCAAGUAACUCGAUUGUCUGUCACUGCACCGGGGCCAUCGUUACCAUACUCUCCGUAGUAUAAAGUGCUUAGGCCUUGAUCACCUUGCCAUGGAGUCCACCCUUCUGGUGCAAUGUGUUCAUCGAUGUAUGAUUUUAUAAUGACUGUUCUCGAGUAAUUUCUCCAUGGUCUUCCUAGAUAACUCUUGACGGUAGCCAGAUUUGAGUUCAAGUCAUUCGUGGGCAGGAUCGAACAGUUUUGCAGAGAAAUUCCGGUGGACUCAUCUUCGAUGUCUCGCGACUGGGCUGUGAUCGCGGUGAACUGUCCAGGCAUUGGUAAUCUGGAAAUGACGUUGCAUCCCUGGAAAACCACAGCUGCAUUGCCAAAUAUGUAGUCUAUUGUCCCAUAAACGUCGCAUUCUCUGUAGAAUUGACGAAAUGAGUGCACAUAUAAUGUGUCCUGGUGUCCCUUUAUGGUGCACCUGUAGACGGCGGCCAAAUCACCAUUAACCCGAAGGGCAACUGCCUGGUGCUUCUCUGGUCCUGCUGAAUUCUCGAAAGUUAUGUCUCGUGCCAAGAAUCCCUCCCCGGAUACGGCUGAAAUAAAUUACAAGAAAUCCAUGUGAAAAAAAAGGUCGUUAAAGAAUGUUUCUGCUAAUUAAGCCAGUUGAGUUAUUAAUUAAGCUUGAUUUGAUAUUGCCCCGUGGUCAAAAUAAGCAUCCUAUGGAUUGUGCCUAGACAGAUAUCUUAGUUAUCAGAUUGGUUGCAACGAGACAUUUCAAAAUUGAAAUCCAUUUCAAUAAUGUAAGUGGAUUAAAAAAAUAUUUACCAACAGUGGCGGAUCUGAAUGUGGUCCAGCCGUCACCUACGCUUCUGCUACCAGUAAUUAUGGUAACAUCACUUCCAUCUCCAAGAAGAACAAUGUUGGGCUUCCAACUUGGAAUCUCGACAUUCUCUUGAUACACUCCUUGCCUAACAAAGAUAAAUAUUCUAUCAGCGCUAUUAUUCGGAGCAAAGUUUAUUGCAUCAGUAAGAGCGGUGAAAUUUCCGGUUCCAUCGGCCGCCACUGUGAUCAUGUUACUCGGGUCGUAAUAAUCAUCAUCUGCAGAACUCUGCAAAAUCCGUCGAUCUUUACUGGACAUCCAACUUGGAAAUCCCAUUAGACGCCUAUGCAUUAGGCCGUUUGAUUUUGAUCUUCCUGGUUUAGACAGAAUUGACAAGGCAUUGCUUACAUGCUUAUAAGCAUCAACGAUGGAGUUGACCAGGGCUGGUUUAGAAGGGCCAGAUGCUGAAUCUAGCCCUUCUAAACAAGUAACUUUGUUAGUCAAAGCUGCACUGAGAAAGGCCCUUGCAUCAGCUAAUCUUCUCGAGUUAGAAGAGCUGAUUCGCGAAACAGAUUUCUUUAACGAAGAAACUGUUAUUUGUUGCAAUUCGCUGCAAUCUUGGAUUGUACCCUUUUGUUUUUCGACAAUGUUUGAGUGUCCACCACUGCUAGAGAAGAUGUUUGAGAGCUUUCCAGCUUCUGAUAAUGCAGUUUGAAGUGAAUGGAGAAGAAAAUUUAUAAUGUUUGGACCGAUGUUAAUGGAGACAGAGAGCCUCAGUGAAUCAAAACAGACAUCUGGGUAUGGUGUGGACUUGCAGAGAUCUUUCAUGGAAGACAAAUGAGAAUCUAAAGUCGAAGGAGAUGAUGAAGAUGAAGAGGUGAUGACAAAACAUGUUGAGAAGAAAAUUGAGAAUAGAAGCAGGGAUGGCUUCAAGUUGCGGGAAGCCAUGGACAUCGAGGCCCUGGACAACUUCAAAUCUCAAACUUUGUCUAUGUAUUUAAACUAGUUCUUGUGUACAUAAAACUGAAUAGAUUUGGCAUUGGGAAGGUGCCACAUGGGUUUAUGAGUACUGAUGUACAAAACACCCUUUGCUUACGGGCAACGAUAGUUUACUGAGAGAGCUAUUAGCCUAUAACAGUAAUGACAAGACCAGAGAGAGAGAGUCAUUUUGCCAUCCUCUGCUCUCGUGUGACAUGUUUUGUAUGGUAGAGAAGGGGGCCUGCACCUUUUUUUUUGGUCAAAAGGAAGUCAUAUUUCAUUAGCUAACUUGAUACCACAAGUUCUGUUACAAAGGGGGCUGCAGUUUUAACGGGUAAAAUACUCCUUAAAACUUUCUCCAUUACAUAGAACUUUCGCAGUGUGUAACUUAGCUUUUAUUUACUGUACUUUUGGCUUUUUCCAGUGUCUCAUCAUGAAUGGAUUCGGGAUGUUCACGUUCCAAGUGAUACAGAAGCGUAAGAUACAGUACAUGAUGAAAAGAUAAAAGACUUACAACCAUUUCAGACGGUACAUGCCUUCGUACUUUCGCCCAAAAGAUAGUACUAGCUAGUAUGAAUUUCAAUCUAUCAAGAAUGCCUAUAGCAUAAGUAGAUUGUGAGGCUCCGAAUUUGCAUGUGGUACUUAUUCAUGUCCGGUCUUAUUGUUUGUGUGUGUGUGUUAUUUCCGCUUCGGAAAAAAAAACUUAUUCAUGUCCGGUCUAAAGUGAUUGCUGGAACCCUGUUUAAGAUAUUUUGUGUUGUUCAAAUGUGGCCUACAAGGACGAAUAUCUAUGGAUCAAACAAACGACUUGGCAGACUUUUUGGUGAAAUGGUGGUCUGAAGCAGGCGAGCAGUAAUGCCGCCGUAACACUACUACUUCCAGUCAAGUUCUAGUUUGUGAUGAUAUUCAGUGCAAAAGUUGAAAGACGUUGUGCACCAAAUUGAUAAUACUAUGACGUGUAUAUAUAUAUAGUUGUAUACGUAUUCGAUUAUUACAAGAAACAGUUAUAAAACUUCACAAUCCUAAUAAACUCUCCUGUGUAUAAUAAGUAGUAUGCAGAUUGCAGGCCACAUAAAAUACUUGACGAACUCAGUAUAUUCAUUCUCUUGGUCCUAAUUGCAUAAUCAAAGUUGGAAAAGGAAAAACUAAAACUAGUGGAAGGGAAAAAGAUGCAAGUCAAGACUCUUUUUUUAAAGAGACUAAUAUUAUAAUUUCCUGGCACUUGCUACUAAGCACAGUUUUCUAUGAAAGCGCUGGAAAUCGAGCUUCACCCUACCGGCCUUAUGCUAAAGCUGAUUAUAGGUAGCAUUCCGAUAUUCUUCACAUGUUUGUCUGUCUGUUUCAGUCUUCUUCUUUUGUUGGGGUUUUAUUAAGAAAGAAGCUGAGACGUGGACAAUCCGGACUUCAGAGCAUAGUUGAAUGUCAAUAUCGGUACUUCAGUGAGCUAGGGCCGAAAGGCAAAACUGCUCAAGUAAACAGUGGUCAGGAUUCAUAUAUACCACUUAAAAUCUGGAAGUUUUGGGCAAAAUUUUAUCCGGGACAUGGCUCUACUGUUUAUUACAAUUAUAUGAAUUUGACUGGGAAAGAAUGAGAAGAUAAUGGCGAAAGUGGACUCGUUGACUGGUAAUGGUAUAGGAGAGCUGCAUUAUUUCGCAUGCAGUAGCAGUUUUGUCCCUUUAUACAUGCAGUAACAUUUCUUUUAGCAUGGGAAAAGUGGGGUUUAGAAUGGGGAGGAAGAAGAAGGAUUUGAACUAAAAACAUUUAAUUAUUGAAAUUUUAACUUUAGCCACUAAACUAAAAUUCCCUCGAUAAGCUUUAUGUAACAAACAUUAAGCAGAGAGGGUUAAGCAACGAUACUAUGGUUCUUGGAAAUGAAACACAAAAGGCUGACAAAAUCACGAAAAGAAUAAACAAAUUUUAUUGUACUAACAAUUAUGAAUUUCCUCUCUAACACGGCAAAUGUAAACGCGAAAAACAUUCCACUGCUUUUGGGGCAUAGAAUUUGCACCCCAACAAUCUGUCAAUCUGUAAUGGACAGCCAACUUUGAUUGUUAACGUAUACACGUAAAAUGGUACUACUUGACUCUUUUUUUUUUUUUUGUAAUAGAAAAAAUUUGGAUAAAUUCGAUUCCUUUUAUCGGUACUACGAUAUAGAGCAGAGAUUCUCCAAGACUCUGUACAUCAUUUACAAGAAACUCUUGCCAAUUGCGUACUAACACAAUCACCGCUACUUGACUGACUCGACGUGGUUGAAGUGUCAGUGGUAACGCGAUGCCAUGCAGGUGAAGUAAAGAGAGCUAAUUUCCACGCGGUUUUCCACAUGGAUGCUUCAUCUUAUAUAUACAUAUAUAACAGCCCUUGAAUAAUCAACCAUAUACAUGUUUUUUAUUCUCCUUUGGGGAAAAUGGCAUGAUGCAUCCAUAUGUUUGGAAAGGAAUUUUCAAUCAAAAAAUGUCUAUGUUUUUCGUAAAUAUAUUUUUCAAUCGUUUUUUUGUCUGCAUAUCUCAAAUCGAUACAGUACAUUUUCUACAAAAAUUCCAGAAAAUUUCAAUUCAAACACAACCUAUGUCUAAUAUGGAUGCAUCAUGUCAUUUUCCCGAGGAGAAUGAGGAGAAAAAAAAAAGUAUAUGGUUGAUUAUUGAAGGGCUUUUUUUUUAAAAUAUAUAUAUAUAUAUAUGUAAGAUGAAGCAUCCAUAUGGAAUGGAAAGUGGAAACCGCGUGCAAAACUUGAAGUGAAGCAUCAGAAUCAAGGAUGGCUCCUUGGAAGCUAGCAAUAAAAGUCUUGUGUGAUUACUGCAACUUGCUGGUGGUGAAAACCUCCUUUCAACAUUUAUAUCCUGUCCUUAUCCAUAUUUUCUGACAGUAUUCUAUACUAUAAAUCCACAAUUACUACUACUAUAAAAGUUCGUGGUUUUCUUUUUUUUUUUUUUAAUUUUUUCCAGUAAAGUUUGUUUGAAAGAUGAGUGGACAUGUUUUGGCUUCUGGUGGAGACAGCUUUUUCUCCGUUCUGAAUCUUUUUAUGCUUACAAGACUUAUACAUUUUAUAUAUAUAUAGAGUUGUUAAUGGGUCAAUUCCGCAAUCCUGAUAGACAGAACCACUCCCUUUCAUAACUCACAGUUUUUUGUAUGAGUGUUUCGAUAAAUGGACUCUGCGAAGACACUUCAAAAGCCACUCAGUACCACUCAGUAGUGUGUAAAAUGGAUGCCUGCUUUUAAAAUCUUUUGUCCUAAUCACGAGGACAGGACUUUUCGCAUCAAAGAAAUGUUCAUUCAAUUGAUUCACCACCGACAACAAACCUAAGUAAAUCAAGAUUCGUCUUAAAUCUCAAUAAUAUAAGAGAUAUUUUUGGAAUUACAAAAAAUUAAUUACUUUUAUUGUUGAUCGUUUUCAGUCAAACAGAGAAACGGUUAAUGCCAAAAUGAAUUUAGUGCCUGUUUGAUAACAUAAACAAGUGCUGAAACUGAAUUCAUUCAGACAUUCAGAUGUUGUGGGUGUUUGAUAAAUAAAAAUUCACCUGCUGAACUUAUUAAGUGGUGCUGAAUUUGUAUGUAUUUUUUUCAGCACAAGAAUCGUAGCUGAAUGCUUAAUUUGAUAAGAGUCAAGAGAUUUACUUCAACUACUUUAUCUUAUCUACCAAAUAUAUCCCUAUUUGUUAAUUACAUUCAAAAUCCUUAUUUAAUUAAACAACUUAAUAUUUCCUAUUCAAAAUCCUUAUUUAAUUAAACAAAACAACCUGAUAUUCUCUAUUCAAAAUUUUUUUUUAACAAUAAUAUUUUUUUUGCAGUAAUUUUCAUCCACAAACAUUUAUAUUUUGAUAUUUUUUUUGUGCAGAUAAAUAUUAUUUAUGUGAUGCAGCUUAUUCACACACACGUGGCUUUAUGACACCAUAUCGAAAUAUUAGAUAUUGGUUGUCUGAUUUUCGAAAUGCUUCUCGUCCAAGAUCAAAAAAAGAACGCUUUAAACCAAACACAUGCAAGAUUGAGAAAUGUAAUUGAACGUGCUUUUGGAGUAUUAAAAGAUCGUUUUUCCAUUCUCAAAACGAUGAAACCAUACCCUUUUCCCACACAAAGAAACAUUGUCAUUGUAUGCAUUGCUCUUCACAAUCAUUGUCAUUUUCAUACCUAACAAUUUUAAGUUAAUUAAAUUAUAGGUUCUAUUUUCUUUUUGGAUUAAAAGAUAGAAGGGCAAAAUUGUACAAUUUAGCUUAUUAAGCAUUAAGUUAUGAAUAUUUAUCAAACAAUAUAAAUAGAUUCAGCAUUAAGAUUCAGACAUUCAUAUAUCUUUUUUCAGUGCUUAAAAUUCACCAAAUUAAUUAUUUCAGUAUUCAGAGUUCAGAGUUCAGAGUUCAGAAUUUAGAUUCAGUAUUAUCAAACGGAGCCUUAGUCCUGGUUCUUGGCUAUUGAACUUGCCCCACCACGACCGGUCAGCUAAAUCCUCCAUGAGGGGCGGAAACAUCGAAUUACAGCCACAAGCAUAUUAUUAGACUUCAUCAACGCACGCUGUCAUUUUUCGUUUGGUGGGGAUUGGUUAUAUGAUGAAUAAAAUGGAGUGUGAUUUGAAGUGAUGUGAUAUAUACAGAAGUUUGAUUGAAAACGGACUGGUAAUGGUGUGCAAUUCUUUUUCUUUUCUUUCUUUUUUUUUUUUUGAUAAAGUGUACUACAAUUCAUGUAAAAAUUAAGUAGUUUAGUAUUUUCAUAAUGGGACUUGUGGAUAUAGUGCAAUUAUAAAAUUUGGCGUACAAUGUAGGUUAUUGAUGUGAGGGUCUUGUAGACACAUUCUGCGCGCAUCAUGCUGUUGGCACUUGAGAUCCUCGGUGACAUGUUUUCGAUGCCAAUUCAAUGCCACCAAUAGUAUUGUGCCAAGUGUCAUGUUAUUAUUUACUAGUGUGUUAAAUCAAGUCAAAUUAAAUUAUUAGAAAAUUAAAAUAUAAAUAAUAACAUGACACUUGGCACAACACUAUUGGUGGCAUUGAGUUGGCAUAGAAAAUAUGUCACUAAGGAUCUCAAGUGUGCUGCUGGGAAAGAGUAGAAUUCUGAAAUUCAACUCAAUAGAAACAUUCCAAAAUAAUAGGGAAAAAAAGCCUCAUUCAUUCUAAUCAGAAACUGUCUUCUUUCGUAGAGUACGAGGAUAUGAAUCAAUGAUUUGAUAUCAUGAAUAUGAUACGAUUUGAUGAGGACAAAGGUUUGCUUUAGAACCCUUUUUUGCAUGGAUGAUGAGCGGUGGUUGACCGGCCGACUGGCACAGUGUUCUGGAUAUGAACAAGACGGUUGAAUCAGUCAAGUGUUCUGAUUAAUUACUUAUGGUUUGAGGAAACUUAAAAUUAUUUAAGCUAGUGAGAGAAUCACACCCUACGGUAAUUAAGAAAAUUUUAAUUGCCUUAUUAAAUUUAAUAGAAAUUAUUAGAAGUUUUUUUGGUCUUGCAAAAAAAGGUUAUGAUUAUUUUUGGGAAACAAACAAAAAAAAAAGUUACUAGAAGUGGAAGUUAUUAGAAAUUAUCAAAUUCAAGUUGUUAUUUUUAAUAAAUCUUUGCUUUUGUGAGGGUAAAAUUAAAAAAAUUAAAAAUGAUACUAAAUUUUAACACCAAACCUCCUCCUCACACAUUAUAUAUAAAAAGAUGCAGAAGUUUUUUUUUUUAAUAAGUAAAAAGGAUCGAAUUCAAAACUUCUCAUUUACACACUAUCGCUCCCCCCUCGAUGGGGGAUUGGAAAGAUGUUGAAGUUAAGAACCAAUAAAAUGAGGCGAUUAAACUGACUCUUAUUUCCUCUGUAAUACUUAAGAGUACUUAUGAAGGGGUUGGUUUCUUCAGACACCAAAGGUUUAUGCUAUGUUUCUCCGACCAAUGACCAAUGCCCAAUAACCACAACGGUGACGAGAGAAAUAGAACGCGAGCAAAUAAAAUCCAUGAAGAAUGCAUCAGCGAUUCUAAAAAUCAUACGUGAGCUACAGGCUCAGCCAAGCCAGCCUAAACUUUAAAUGAAAUCGUUUGACAUUUUCAAGAGUGAUGUUGAUAAUUAUUCACGUAAAAUAACAAGCAUGAAACUAAACUAUACAAGUAAAAUGCCUCAAAGAAAUUUUCAAUGUAUAAACAUUCCAGUAUUAAUUUUAUCAAACUUGAUCAUAGCUCCGUUCAAGCUCGAUGGACCUUUAUGCCCAAGCUCGUUCCAAUUCUAAUUUUAUAAGUUACAGCUCCUGCAAAAGUCAAUUUGUUCAGAAGCUUUUACAUAUAUGGCUAUGUAAAUUUUUCUUGCUCACGCCUGCAAUCCGUCUGUGUACUGUAUGCCAGUGGAAGGCAACCAUGAAUCUCCCAAAAUAAAUUUAGCCACGGUAAAUUUGUUAGCCACGGAUGGGUCUUGAAUCUCAUGGAAUCCAGGCCAAUUGACUCUAUUAUCCAAGCGAGCUCCUGGUCCAAAGUUCAUAUACUCCCCAUAAUAUAGAGUACCAAGUGCAAAACUCCCGUUCCACGGUAGCCAUCCCUUGGGAUGAAUUGCACUGCUAAUGUACGAUUGCAGGAUAACCGUUCUGGAGUACAAUUUCCAGGGCCUUCCGAGAUAUGUCUCUAUAUUGGCCGCUGUAACAUCUGGCUCGGCCGAUAUGUGCGAGAAUUGGAUGGAGAAGCCUGAACCAUCACCAGGCUCCUUCCGGCCUUGAGCUGUGAUGGCGUUCUUUUGCUGUGGGAGGCCUUUUCGGGCACGGAUUUGGCAGCUUUGGAAGACAGCGGUGGAACGACCGAAGAUGAAAUCCACGGUGCCAGUGAUCAGGCAACUUUUGUAGAAUUGGCGCAGGUUGUGGGCAUAAAGGGUGUCUUGAUAUCCCCUGAAUGCACAUCUGUAAAUGGCUGAUAAGUCAGAAUCGGAUAGAAAUGCGAUUGCUUGGGCCUUUUGAGGUCCUGCGGUGUUUUGGAACGUAAUAUCUCGAGCGAUGAAUCCUCGGCCUUUUACACCUACCACAUGUGACAUGAGGGAGUAUCAAAACAAUCAGCAAAUUUGUGUCAGUAAUUUUGAGUGAAGUCCAACAAUUACUUUAGCACUUUUGUUUUCUCGGAAUGAAAGGAUUCUUACGGAAGGUGCCAGACUUGUAAGAUUUAAAGCCAUCGGCUGCGUUUCGAUUGCCAGUUAUUACUGUAGCAUCUAUGCCAUCUCCAAUCAACGCCACAUUCCAUUUCUUCUUGUCGAUUUCCACGUACUCUUGAUAUACGCCUCGCUUAAUGUAUAUUACAAACCGCCUGGAAGAACGUUUAGGGACGAGGUUAAUUGCAUCACUAAUUUUAGUGAAAUUCCCAGUGCCAUCGGCUGCCACGACCACAUCAGCUGAACCCUUGUCAAGGGGUUGGAGCAAGAGUUUCUUUUCUUCGUGUUUAAGCCAAGAGGGAAAAGUUUGUUCAUGGUUGGUGGGGUUUCUGCCGCCACGCAUGGAAUCAGGUGGUAAAUGUACGGUGUCACGAAUGCCAGUGACUAAGGAGGUCACUUGGCUGAGUCUCUCUUCCACCAGGCUUUUGAUCGUCCCGCUGGUGCCAUCAAAACCUUCUAAGCAGGUGUCUUGAUUCACCAGCACACCGUUCAACCACGUCCUGAAAUCAAAACCUAAAUCACCUGUACCGUAACGAGUACCUGCCAUAAUUUUAAACAUUUCAGAUUUGUAGAAUUAGACUGGAAAAAAAAAAGACAAACAUGAUUUGUUGGUUAUGGCUAUAUGUAACCUUUUUUUUUCUUUUUUGGGCAAAUUGGCGAUGAAUAACUAGCCAUAAUAGACUUCACCAGAGAUUUUCUAGUGGCCUUGCCAUAACUAGUUCAUACAUGCGUGUCUUGAUAGUAGUAAAUAGAUGGAUUUGGCAUACAAUUUACAAUGACUAACGGAUCAAUUAAGUUGUGCAACGUAAAGAAUCGUUGUUAUUUUAAUCAGAAAGUGUUUGGCACAUUGAAUAUUAAUAAGAGGUUUACCGUCAUCAGGUUUCAGAGAAGCUGAGAGCGUCCAAUCUAACAAUUCAGCCGAUAAAUCAAGCAGUUCAAGGCAAUCAGAAAUGGCAUUAGACAAAUGGAAAUCGUUGGAGACAUGGCUGAACUGGGAAACAGUGGAGGUAACAUUCUGGAUUGCGUUGAUUGCAGUCUCGAGCGAGCUUGAAAACUCCGAAACUGGCACCAUCAAGUAGUCGGGCUGAAACAAAUCCGAGCUGCCACAGCUUAACAAGUGAGACCAUGGACACAAAAGUAUCAUCAAAAGCCAGAAGAAAAAUUCAACACAAGAAGCCAUUACUGUCAUUCUUAGUUCUUUCCCCUGACCCUGAGAACGAGAAGAAAUCGAGCGUGAUGGCUCUGCUUAUAGUGCAAAGAAACAAAGUUUGGGUGUCAUCAGCCCGUUGCAUUAGUUUGUGAUAAAAAAACGUGUGGAGUUGCGAUUACAAAGUUUAAGCAAGACGUAGGCGUACGUGUUUGGACAGAAGCUUGAAAAUACUUGCAUUAUGCGUAUUGUUGAAUAUUUAUCAAUCCAUAAAUGUGCAAGUUUUUAGAAUCCAAGGCCUGCUGAUCAAACAAUAUUGUCUGUAGCUUAUUUUCGUAAUCAUUAGUCUAGGUUGUCAUUUGAGGGAGUGGGAACCAGAGACUCCUCUCUAUUUCCUGUAACACACUUCUGCACAAGUCUGGUAUUCUAUUAAUUGAUGAAAAGAAUUUUUGCUUUUUUUGGCGGUAAGAGUUGGUGCCGUUCUGCGCUUUUUUAAAGAAAUAUAAGAGUUACUCGACAACAAUCUUUCAACUACAAUCAAUUUUGGCGUUAGCAUUGAUCUUCGCAGAACGCCAAAAUUUGAAGGUUCAGAGCUCUCACUUUGCCAAAUGCUAAUCUCAAUUCAGAGCUCUCGCAGAACGCCAACCGCACAGACUCAACAACUGAGCACCCACCAAUACGUCGUCCAAAGUGACUCAUUCAAGUUCAAUGAUCCACUGGCUAUUAUCACUGCCCCGACGCAUCUUCAAGUAGCAUUUCUUUUUAAUAGACAUUCUACUUUCAAUAAAUUAUGUUUCAAUACAUAAAUGUCCAGCAAGUAGCAACAACCCAACAACAAAUCUUUGUGCUCUGUUUCCCGAUUUAAUGCUGCACGUUUGAGCAAGCAAUUCACAAGAUAAGCAUCUAUUUUUUGUUCCAUGGUUUUUAAGCCAAGACACUACGACCCGGAAAGCCAAAAAAUGUAGUAGUGGUAGCACUAAAAUUCAAGGUCUAACGAGAGAAAAGAAAAAAGAGAGAAGAAACCCACCCCCCCCCCCCAACCCCACAAAAAAAAAAAGGAACAAGUGCUCAAAGUCUAAAGCAAAUUAAACUCAACCAAACAACAAAAGACAGAAAAGAGGGGGGGAAAUGUCGGAUAAGUGCACAAGGUUGUUAAAUUGGCAUGUUGCUUAAUCGAUAGGAUGCUACGGAGGAGCCAGAAGCUUUCAAACAUGCUGGACUCAACUGGGCUUAAUUAGUACCUGUCCCCUUUAAAUGAAAUGCAUAUCAGCAUCACAGCCAGCAACUUGCCUUUUAUAUAUAUAUUUUUUGCCAUUAAUUAUAAGUCAAAAAAAUGUUCAAUUAAUUCGAGAAGCCAAAAACCUUUACAGAUACGUGUGUGGAAAAUUUUUCAAUUUAAACAGCCAGGCCAGCCGUGUACUUCACUCCAGUCAUGGGCAGCCAUGAGUUUCCCACAAUGAAUUGAGCCACGGUGAAGUUGUUUGCCACAGCCGAGUCAUUAAUUGCGUGGAAACCUGGCCACUUGACUCUACUCCCCAAUCCAGCCCCCGGUCCAGUGUUCAUAUACUCCCCGUAAUAUAAAGUAUCAAGUGCAAAAUUCCCAUUCCACUCCAGCCAUCCUUGAGGCUUAAUUGCGUUGCUAAUAAAUGACUGCAUUAUCACCGUUCUUGAAUACAAUUUCCAUGGCCUUCCAAGAAAGGUCUCGGUCGAGUUCAGGGAAGCCAGAACAUCAGGCUCCGCGGAUAUGUUUGAGAAUUGGAUGGAAAAGCCUGAUGGCUCAGUAAUUACCUUGCGGCCUUGUGCUGUUAUGGUGUUUUUCUGAUUUGGUAGGCCUUUCCGGGCAUUGAGCGUGCACCUUUGGAAGACGACGCUGCCAUCACCAAAUAUGAAAUCGACUGUGCCCGUCACUACACAUUCUCCGUAGAAUUGGCGCAUCGAGUGGGCGUAAAGGGUGUCCUGAAAACCCCUUAUGGCACAUCUAUAGACGACUGAUAAAUCAGAAUCUGAUCGGAAUGCGACUGCUUGGUGCUUUUGGGGUCCUGCAGUGUUCUCGAAUGUCAUGUCCCGUGCUAUGAACCCUUGUCCCUUGACGCCUGCACAUGCCAAUUGGCCAAGCCAGCAAAAUUUAGCGUUUCAUUUGAUAGGCUAAUGACGCCCUUAUCGUAGCAAUAAAUCAAUUAAUUCCCUCGAGUCCCUCCCAGCUUCUUCUGGAUAAUUUACGAAACAUAAAAAAAAAUGCCAAUGCAGAAGCAGGCAAGAAGGUAUGGGUCAGGUGGGAUGUUCUUUUUGGUUCUGUAAAUUGUCAAGUCAUGAAGAUAAAAGUAUGGCCCUACACUAUGGACCAUGGGACGAUUAAAUUUUUGGUGCAUUCACACGUUGACAUAGUUAGUUAAUUCCCUCACCAGCUACAUGGUAACAUGCUACUACAACGUAAGAAGCAAUCAAGACUUGUAUUUCCUUUGCAAUCUUCACCACAAAAGGAAGGAACAAAUAGAAGCCUUAUACUUAGCUUUGAAGGAAUUCCCCUUUCUUACUUAAUGAAAUCUCCACUACUAAAAGCUACUACAACUUAAGAAGUGACAUAUGAGUCAUAAUAUUCAAGUCUCACCUCUAUUCAGUCAUGCACAUGUUAGCCCGCAGUCUUAAAAAGUAACGGGACCCUCCCAAAUAUUUCAGUGACAAUUAAAGAAAAAUUCCCCCUUUUUUUGACCUGGAGUACUAUUUUGAUACUACUAGUAUAUAUAGACACAAAAUCUCAUGAUAUGCUUAAAAAGUGGUCAUCGGUGAGUUUGUCCGUUCACUGCCACUAAACGUAAUUUGGAGCACCAUAUAUAAUGCAUGAUUGGGUUAUUGAAAGUACAUGAAAGAAAACUGGGUAGUACUACUAGAGAUCUUACCAAAGGUGGCAGACCUAUACGUGGUCCAUCCAUCGAUAAAGCUUCGAUUGCCGGAUAUAACGGUAACAUCCAUGCCAUCUCCGAUCAGCAUUAUAUUCGGUUUCUUCUUGCUGAUCUCAAUAUACUCUUUGUAGACACCCUUUUUGAUGUAUAUCACGAACCUUUUUGCACUUUGUUCAGGGGCUGCGCUGAUCGCAUCAUUGACGCUAGUGAAUUUCCCUGUGCCAUCUUGAGCCACUACUACAUCGGCUUGGACCCCAUUAGCCUGAAGGAGUUUUCUGUCCUUGGAUUUAAGCCAAGACGGAAAUUCAAAUUCUUUGCGGCUGGUCAGCUUUCGGCCGCCUGUACGUCCACCACCGCCACCGCCACUGCCGCCAUUGGACUUGGAAUCAGGUAUUGGAUGCACCAUGCCGAGAACGUCGGUGACUAAUGAGGUUAUUUGGUUGAGGCUCCCCGCCACCAAGCUUUUGACAAUGCCGUUGGUGCCCUCGAAACCUUCCAUGCAUGUGUCUUGGUUCACUAGCGCAGCGCUCAACCAUGUCCUCAAAUCAGAACUCAACCUAACUGUAUUUGUAUUAUUCUUGCCUGUGAUAAUAUUAAAAAAACUAAGUUUUUCUUCAAUUGGAAAAAAGAUAUACCAGAACUACUAAAUAUAGGUAAUCAUUGAAGUAGCAGAGUUAUAUUAGUGUUUUUUAUUUAAAUCAUUUUUUACGAUGAAGAGUUCCUAUAACCAUUUCUACCUCGCAUAUAUCAAAUUGCUACAUCGUUACAGUAAUUUUUCUAAAAAAAAUCCAAAAAAAUACGAUCCAAACGUAAAAAUGGCAUACUCAAUUAAUGGUUGUCACUGCAGAUAUUUAUGGCUAGGAGUACUUGUAACACUUUUUGGUAAAUAAUGGCUAGGACCAACUAGCCGAAGCGGAGAUUUCUAGUAAUAUGUCCUGGUUGGCCACAGCCAAAAGCAAAGUUUGGCACUGUGCGGCUGUAUGCUUUCAAUAGUCACAUUUCUAAAGCAAGAAAUUUCAUGUGUUUAGAAAAGCGGGAAAGGAAAACAGAGAGAAUAGAUAGACUACGUACCUGAAGGUUUCUGACCAGCGGAGAGAGUCCAGUCUAACUCAUCAGCCGAAAGAUCAAGCAAAUCAAGGCAGUCUGAAAUGGCAUUAGACAACCUGAAAUCUCCCAAGAAACUAGUGAAUCUGGAGACAAUGGAGGUCACCUGCCGGACAAUGCCUAUGGUAGACUUCAAUGAGCCCACAAACUCUGAAGUUGGCACCAUCAAGCACUCCGACUGAAUCAAAGGAUUGUAAUUCACACAGCUUACUAAAUGAGGAGACCACAAUCCCAAAAUCACCAAAAAAGUGAACAAAAUCUGGCAACGCGAAAAAGAAGCCAUUUGCAUUUCCCUUCUUGCAAUAAUAAGAAGUGCUUGUUAUGGUUUAUAAUGCAAUGAAAUUACACUAUGUACGGUGUCAUGCAAAUUAAUAUGGUAACGAGGCCCUCCCUUUCUUUUUUUUUGUUUUUUUUUUUUGUUUGGGGGGGGUGGGGUGGGGUGGGUUUGGGAAUGGGGGACCUCUAACUAUAAGGAUGACAAACAGUUGGGAGGAGUGCCGGAAGGAAGAUUUGGAGGAAUGAAUGAGGCAAUGCUCCCAAAAAAGUGUGAUUGGGAGGGGUAUUAAAUAGGAGGGGUUAAGGAGGAUGAGGACAAUUGUGGAUCAUGCAAAGGGCUGUUAUAGUGAGAGUUAGGAGUCAGGUGAGAACAUUUAUGAAGGGGUACUAGUUUCGAGUGUUGAGUAGUUAGUGUAGAAGCGAGCUACAUACAAAUGUAAAGGUGACUUGGUCAUCAUACUAGGAGUGACGGUGGGGGUGGUGGUGGACCGGUGGGGGUGAGGGCUGUGGUGUCGGCGGU
rnacentral:lncRNA from 1 species